rnacentral:lncRNA from 1 species
CUGGCAGCAUCAUUUGGAAUAAAUGAAACUACCUUCGACAGGCUUGUGAAUCAACAACGCGAAUCGGUUAUCUUAGAAUGCACCUCCUGCGCAGAGGAAGAAUGGAGGAUAAUGGAGGAAGAGAUUGAGAGGGAAAGAGAGGAGGCAAGGCAGAGGGAAGAGGAGGCAAGGAAGAGGGAUGAAGAGAGGAAAAGACAGGAAGAGGAAGCUGAGACGAGAGAAGAGGAGGAGGCAGCUAGGGAGAGAGCAGAGGAGGAAAGGAAGAAGAGAGAGCAAGAAGAAGAGGAAGAGGCGGCACGGAGAAAGAGAGAGGAAGAGGCAGCACGAGAAAGGAGGGAACAAGAGGAAAGAGAACAAGAAGCAGCACAGAUGGAAGAGAAAGAAAGGGAAGCAGCUAAGCGAGAGGAAGAAGAAGCAGCACAAAGAAGACAAGAAGAAGCUGGCCAGGGAGAAGGAGGGCGCCCACACGAAGGGGGCAGGGAAGCACGGCCGCCGGAGGAAGACGGAAGAGGAGGAGUAGGAGCCAGGCAGGAGGAGGAAACUGCAAAGCAACAAGAAAAAGAAAUGGGACAAGAGGAGGAGCAGGGCAAUGGCCAAGGAUGGGGAAGAAGAAUCCUUAAAAAUGCUUCUUGACUGUGUCUAGUAAUGCUCAAAAGUAGACGUUUCCAGUGAGCAUAAAGCUGAAUAAGCAGUUUUGUUUCAGUCUUUGCUUUAUUUUGUGUUUGCUUGUGAAAUACCUUCAGUUGAGAGCUCCAUUAGCGCAUGGUGAAGUCCUUUAAAAGCCAGCUUAUUGAAUUCCUACGAAUGAAUGACUCCAAUUAAUUCCUGCGAUUGAUCUAUCUUAGAACUGCUUGAGCAAGAGCCAAAACUCAGCCAGGUUUUCUCACAUCAUGGACAGGAAUCCUAAACUCGAGCAAUAAAGGAGUUUUCCAUACCUACUUUUCUUACUUUUUGAUGGAUUGCAAGAGAGGAAUAUGUCUCACAAUGAACAAUGGACGACGUAAACGGGUCCUCAAAUAGCCCAAAAAGAUGAAAAAAAAAAAAAAGGACAACGCUUGAAUACCCCCACAGAAAGCAUUUUCAAGCUACAAUAGCACGCAGAAAUGAUUUUGUAAACAUUCUCAGACUAUUAAUACUCAAUUAGAUAUCAGGGACGACCUCUGGGUUCAACGGCAGCUCAAAAAGCUAGGAAACUACUAUCCAUAUCUUACAACUGUAACGGAACACCUUCAUACGUAUCAAAUUUAGUAUCAAAUUUGCAAAAGAAGAGGGAGAAAGGGGGUGAGGAAAUCUGGAAAAUCUCGAAAGCUUUGUAAAGAGAAUAAACACCACGUAUUCAAAGGCCAGAAUGAGGAAAGGACUGUAUAAAGUCAAAUGUAAGAAUUGUAAAAUCUAUGUUUCAGUCGAGCCUGACAAGUCAGAGACAUACGAAACAACCACCGUAAUGUCAUCAAGUUUUCCACCAUAAUAAGAGAAUCCAAUCUCUUGUGCUGCAGUAGAAAAUGGAGUUUGCCUUUCCCUGUCCUGCGCUCGGUGGCGCGCCAAAGCUGCAACUUUUUGUGCUGUCAACUCAGGGGUGAAACCCGAUGUCACUGCUGCACCAACAAUUGUAGUUAUUUCACGUUUAUACAAGUUAUCAAAUAGCCCAUCUGUUCCGGCAACAAUGACAUCUCCCGGUAAAACUGAAAUCUUGAAAACCUGGCCAAAAUAUUUAAAUCUCAUUUAGGAGGACUCCUGUCGGUGAAACACUAUUAGCGUGAACAAUUGAGAUGAUAUUCUUCUCGAGACAUUCUUGAUUAUAAAAGCACCAUGUAUACAAAUUCACUUGCACAAAAGAUCAGUAAGGAGUGUUCCACUAAAUUACCUGACCGGAACUUGGAAGGUCACCCUUAUUUCCUCUUUCCAGUUGAUAGGGAAAAUUGAAUCCAUGCUGCUGGACUGGAGACUCAAAGGUGGUGCUGCCAUCUCUGACCACAAUAAAUCCACUGUCUCCAAGAUUUAUGGCAUGCAGAAACUGUGGAAGAGAACAAAUAUGCACAGAUGACCAUCAGAGGCAUCAAAACUCUUCUCAAGUUCAAAGAGGGAAAAAAUUUGAAGUCUAUGCAACCUCCAGUACAACAAACUAGUGUCUUAAAGAAUCAUUGGCUUUUUCAUGAUCGCUUUAGGCUGUAAUGUGACAGCCAAACCAAUCCAAUAUGCAAGAGUAGGUCUGAAGAAUUGAACAAACACUAAUCUACCAAAAGGCAUCCAAAGAAAGAAUGAAGAAAAUCAGGAGAUUAAGUGUAGUUAGGCAAACUAAUGGCACAGUGUUCUUUCACUUUUACUCAAGUACAAUAGCAUAACCUUCGCCUUUACAGUUAUUUUCUGCAACCUCCAAUAUUCUAGUGGUCCUCAGAGAGAAUCUCCUUUCUACUCAGAUAUGAGGUUUGGUCUCUUGCAGCAAAAAGUACCAGUGCCAAACCGUCAUCGCCUCCAUCUUAUAGGAAAGAUAAAACAGAAUUUCCCAUCUUUGCCUCCUCUAUGUGCAUGGCUCUGUGCAUGUCUUUUACAAAUAUAACACGAGUCGUCAUCCAUAAACACCACAUAAAUGUACUUCACGGUUUUACGCUUUCUACACUUAGAACAGGAAAAAAAAACACACCAAGAAUGACAUAUUCUGCCUAAAUUUGCCAAAACAUCAGGAUAAUUCCCCUCUAAUGAACCCCAACAAAUACAUUCAUCUACAAAUCACCAAUCAAAAGUGGUCACAUCCAAGUUGAAAAUGUUACUACAGCCAUUUUGUUGCAUGCAAGUUGGAGCAAUAUUUUCAAAAGACGUAGUACAAGAAGAAUAUGUGUGCAUGGACAAAUAUUUUUGGUAUGAAGUUAGUAAGACCUGGUCUUUUAGCACAAUGAUGCAGGCUGUUGAGGAACCCACAGCAUUUGUUUCCGAGUGUGCUUUCUCCAAUACGCGAGCGGGAUCAAUAAACUCCCCGGGCUCAUUUUUAAUAGCAUCCAUCGAGUUAGACAUGAGUUCACAAGCAUAUUCUCCAGCAUUAAUCCCAACCUCCGCCCAACCACCAACUCCAUCUGCCACACCAAUUGCUUGCUCAUCCGAACAGAUGAAAUGAGCAUCCUCUCCACCUGUUUUUUCUUUAUCAGGAUGGGGUAGGUAGCAUGAUCCAGAGUGUAGCUUCAGUGUUCUGUUGCUUAGAGAUCUUCUGGAUUCAGCAGUAGUAGCCAACCAACAUUAAGGAAAAUCACAAUACUAUAUCGCCAAACUUAUUAAUGCUCAAUGCGACUCCCACAAACAUAGAACUGUGCAUCUCUAAUAAACUUAAAUUGAAAAACCCAUUCAGUAGAAAAUUGAAGCAGGAAAUGAUCAUCUUUGACGCAACGACUCACUGCUAAGAUUUAUUUACCUAGUAAGUAAAAAGACAAAAUUCAAGCAAUACCUUGUUUUGAUUAAAAAACGUAAAUAUUUGAUACUCAAACCAGAAUAACGAAUCUCUACAAUAGCCACAAUAUGUGAAUAUGCAAAUCUUUGACUUUUCAACACCAUGACGAAAGACAAUGUUCUUUAGCAAUCAGAGAGAAAGUUUCCCUUUAAAACACGCUAAAAAUCAGAAACCAUACAAAAGAGGAGAAAAAUCCAUUCCAUUUUGAGAAACGAUGGACACCCAAGUUCGACAACUAUGUCUUUUCACAAGUCACCACUUUCAUCGUCCUUGAAUUUCCAUGAGUUAUAUGAGUUGGAAGAAGCAUAAAUAUAAAAAAUCCUGUAAACACUGAGUCGAGGAUCACAUUAUUUUUUUAUUAAGUUCCGGCUUGCUGACAAGCUAAGCUCAACUAAAGAAUUCUCUGUCUGACAGACAAACUGCUAAUGUUGAAGGGUCACCAAAUACGAUCUUGACUGUUGGAAUAUAGGACCUGGAUUAUUGUUGAAUAUCCAAACUAAUUUUAAGGUCAAUACAUCGGGACCAUACACGACUGGCCAUCUGGUUUUAUUUAAUACAACACCUUGGCUAAAUUUGAAGUUAAAUGAACGCACCAAAAAAUCUUCAGGGAACAACUACCUUCUGGAUUAACAAAUGUAUUUAACUAUAAUCAAUUUUGAACCAUUGCACAUAAUAAAGAAACUGCAUACAAGAAAAUUUUUUUGUUUCUAAAUUAACAAAUAGAUGGAAACAACUUGAUAAGACAACACAAAAGGUUAGAGCAUUUACUGGUCUGGUGGUAUGGCAAGACUUGAUAGCUGUUCGUCGAAUGAGGUUCCGUUGCAGAGUACAUCAGAUGCAGCCCCAGUCGAACAACAUGGUGAUGAUGAGGAACUGCAGCUUCUAAACCACGACCCAACAAGGGCAUUCGAGCUGCGACAUUUCCAUCUACCUCCAAGCACAGAAAAAGCACGAUCAGUGCAGCGGCUAUUGGUUACCCCAUUUCUCAAACUCAGACUAGCUUUUUGACAAUUAUCGAGACCUCUAUUGCCAAAAUACAUCACAACAGGUUUAGCAAAACUCGAAACAUUCCCACAACCAGAGAUAAAAGUAUCCAUAACAAGGUCUCCAGGGGCAGCCGUUGAACUAGAAACAGCCAUGGCUCCACUAAAAUUCCCAAAAGCUUGAGAAGACGGGCGCGAUAGAACACCACCACCACCACGUGUCUGAGAAAAUGCCUCAACGGCAGAAUGCUUGGUUCUACUGUAAGUAUAACAAGCCCCAAAUUUCUGACUUCUUUUUACUGUCAAAGAUUCUAUUAACUUGUGGGUUGGUGCUAGUUUCACUCUUAAACCUCUCUGAACCCCAAAACAAAAGGCAGAAUUCGGUUUGGGAAGCAACCCUGAUGACAUAUCCUAUUCCCCCUCAGCUCAACCCAAUUCGUCCAUUAGAUGAACUCCAAACUUAGCAAGUCUGCAUUGUGAGCCAAUCCCCUUUAAUCCUGAGAAACUUCACAUCCUACUCAACGAUAACUUUGCCUGCCCAAGCAGCAAUUUCCUGCUACCUGAUUACAAAAACAAUUGCAUUAUAAAAAGAUUCAUUCGUUUUUCCUUUUCUUCUACUUUCGCAAGAUGAAAAGAAAGAUACAAGGGAAAAAGGAAGGCAUGGGGAACCCGGGAUUUCGGCAAUUCGGGCUUGACUAGGGGCGGAUCGAGAAUGCUGUCUGGGGACAAAAUUAUCGUUGGAGAGAAGAACAGCCGAAGUCCACCGCUUAAUGGGGGCUAAUAUCGCAGUCAGUCUCAAAUUUCUAAGUUUGACGCCCACCAGCCCAAAAAACUGAAAAACGGACAAAAACGAAGCGGUGGCUCAGAAUGAAGCGGAAAUUGGCGUUUGGAUUUAUAUUGGUGAGUUUUUUGGGAAAUAUUAGUGUAGCGUGUACGUAAGAUAAAAAAAAAAAGUAAUUAAAAAAUAGGUAUAUAAAAAUAUUUACAAAAAAUCACAAUCCAAAUAAGGCGUAGUUUUUUAGUCCCUUUUUAAUAAGAAAUCAUGUCAAUUUUGUCCUAUCAAGUUUUAUUUUGAUUAAUGUAUCACAGCAUAGUUUAUAACACUGGAAGAAGAUGACCUUUUAACACUUUGACACUCAUAAAAAUUGAUAGUAAUUUUUGAAAAAAAAAAAAAGAAUUAAGAGGCAGUGUGUGAAUUGUCUAAAAUACAGCAAGUAUAUUAUUAUAGGGACCAGGGAGAGCGCAAAAUUGGAACUAGAGAUGUUAGUGAGCCGAGCUACUCGCGAGUAGCUCGCGAGUAGCUCGGUCAACAACUCGACUCGAACUCGAGUUGUUUCGAGUAGCUCGACUCCACAUCGAGUCGAGUUUCGAGUCUCAUUUUUCGGGCUCGUGGCUCGUCGAGUAGCUCGACGAGCCGCGUUAAAUAUUUAUAAUUUAAAUAAUAUAUAUUUAUUAUAAUUAUAAAAUGACUAUUAUGGAUAUAGAUUUUAUAGAAUUUACAAUAUACCCUUCUUUAUAAUAAAAUCCUAUAAUGGCAAAAAAAUAAUAACAUAAUUAUAAAAAACACUAAAAAGAAAAAAUGUCUACAAAAAAAAGGAAGAAAAGACUUUCUUCCUUCUCUGUGCGACUUUCUUCUCCGUUCGAAGAAAGCCUAGCAAAAAAAUUCACUUUACCAGCCGGCAGCCACUGACUCUGACUGAUUUAGAUCUACACCCUCACUCCGUUCGUCGCCGACGCCGUUGCUCGCCGCAUCUGUGAGACUCCAUCUCCAUCGCCAUCGCCAUCGCCAUCGCCAUCGCCUUAACAAGUCCCAAGUCCCAAGUCCGAAAUCGAAGCUGCUCUCUGCCUCUCCGGCCUCCGCCAGUCCGCCGCGCUCUACGUCUCCUGUCGGCUGUGUCCUGCCGUGCUGGUUCAUCGCUGCCGAGUGUCGAAGACGAAGCACCAAGAUCUCACUAGUUCAUCGCUGGUUCAUCACUGCUCAUCUCUGGCUCACUUAGGUAAGUGCUCCUCUGUUUUUGGCUCUGUGUCUCUGGCAUUAAAAUGGGCCAAGAUCGACUAGGAAACUUGUUAUCCUGAAUUGAUAAGGGGACGAAAUCUCUCAGAGACCCAGAGAUUUCAAUCCAUCUGCCAUUAUCCUAUUACUCUCGGCCAAAAAAAAUAAAAAAAUAAAAAAAAGAACCGACGGGAAACAGAGGAGGAGCAGCCGCCACUGCUGGGUCGUCGGAGUUUGCCCAUACCGCCACGGUUAUCCAAUUCUUCAUUUAAAACGCCCCGUGAGCUAUUCUUUGCUUUCCAACUUGAAUUUCAAUUUGAUAUUUUCUGGAACCAUCUUUUGCUAGUUUCUUCUUGAAUUUUUUUAAUCUGGAGUUAUUUACAAUUUUCAUGGCUGAGUAUACUCUUUGGCCUUUGUUGGACCGAAAUCGUAUUUUGAUUACAAGUUUUGGGUCUUUCUUUCGUUGGAAUUUGAUGGGAUCUUUAGAAUUUUCGUAUGCCCUUCUACUGUUUGAAGAAAUGCCUAAACGAGAACUUGAAAUAAAGAGACAAAUCUCUUGUAUCUGUGCUCGUGGGGAGCAGCUCCUAUCAGUCCAACGCUGAUAGGAGCCCGUGGGUUCGGCGGAAAUCCAUCAAAGACCCAGAGAUUUGCUAGUAAUAGUAUACGUCAUAUGAGGCAUCUGCGGAUUUCUAAGUAUUUCAAUUCUGUGGGCGCUCAAGAAGCGCCAAAUACCUGAUGCAGAUUUAGGAAUCGUGCAAUAUUUAUGUAAAUAAUUUUAAUUUGUGCUCUUAAAAAAAUCAGACUUAGGAUAAUGGUGUGCAAAAAUAUAGCUAAGACUGACUUCAAAAUCCUUUGUGUUAUGAUUUGACCAACUAGGUGUGAUGAAUUUGCCCAAAUUCGGAUUUGAGCAACCUCACAUGCUUGUUUGAGAUAAUUGUUUGUCUCUCAAUUUGGUGGCUCAGCUCAUGUUUUGCUGAGUUUUGAAAUUUUGUGGGGAAUUUUGGUUAGUUUGGGUACUUUUGCAGCACACUUAGGAACUAUGAUUCGAGGAAUUAGAAUCAUCCAUAUUUUCUGCUCUUGUGGGCACCUACCGUUGGUGGGUAAUUGCUGAAUUUGAAAGUUUCAUGUCAAGCAAUCCAGCAAGUGGGAAUUUCCCUUUUUUCUUCUCUAUUCUUCUUUGUGGUGAAUCUGAUUUUUAGGGGUGUUAAAGAUGCUAACUGUGGGAGGUAGAAUGUGGAUACUUUUGGUUGUAUUUGUAUUGAUGAAUCAUGGAUUUUAUGCCUCAUUUACUCCAGCUGAUAGCUACUUGCUUGCCUUUGAAUCUUCCCAAAACGUCACCUUUGAUCUGGUUUUUUGGUCAAAUCGAGUCAAAAAGCUUGAUAAGACUCGACUUGAUAAGGCUCGAUUAAAGAUCGAGCCUUAUCGAGUCGAGUCUCGAGCCUAAAUGAAAUUCUUCGAGUCGAUCUUCGAGUAUCGAUUUUCGGGCUCGAUCGAGCUCGAGUCGAGCUCGAGCUUCUGUGUGUAUGAGUCGAGUCGAGCUCGAGUAUAGCGAUACUCGAGCUCGACUUGACUCGAUUACAUCCCUAAUUGGAACACAAACGUGCAUUAUUAAUCCCCUGCUUGCAAAAUUGUCUUUUUGUUGUUCAUCCACAAUUCCCGACUUUUGUGUCCCCCAACCCAACUUUUGGACGACAUUAGGGGCUUAUUUGUGCAUGCAAAACUCGUGCACCAAGAUGCUAUCACUGUGCAAUAUAACAACAGGCCCUGUGACCUGUAACGCAAUUCCAAUUGUUUGAUCCUGCACCAGCGUGAUUGUGUGUUUUAACAGUAGUGCCGUUUGUAUUGUGAUUUUUAAAAAUUUUUAUAAAGAAAAAUAUUGUAACGAUUGGAUUUAAUAUAUAUGACUUAAAAUAAUAAUUAAAAAAUAUUAUAUAUAUAUAUAUUUUUUUUUUCUGUAAAAAAUCACAAUUCAAGCAAGGGCGCUUGACGUUUACAGUAAAACGUAAAAGUUUUACCGUGGAUGUACGAGAUAAAUGUUUUUUACACGCCACGUCGUGUUAGAAGCACGAAGAAGCGGAGGCUUUGGCUUGCCAUGAAUUGUUCGCAUGGAGUAGAGUAGAGUGGGUGACACGUUCCCUAUACUAUAGAGGCCGUGCUACUUGGCACGGAAUUCUGGAAUAAGUACAAAAGUUAAACCCCACUUUACUGCUCUGUGAAGGCCAAUAAUGUCUCUCACUCAUCCUGAUUACUCCUUUUACUCAAUCCGUCUGCUCUGCACAAAAACAACCACAAAAUUACCAUAUUUGUUUUAAUCAGGGCCCCCAUUUCUAUUUCACCGUUCCUAGCUAGAGCGGUUAAUCGAACCGAAUAGCUCGCGAGCCAAGUUCGAUCCGAUUCGAUAAGGGGUUCAACUCAGUUAGUUUAAUGAGAGAAAGGAGCCGAUCUCGAAUUCAACUUUACGCUUAUUUAAUAGAUGAGCCGAGUUAUGCUCGACUCGUUUAGGCUCGAAUGGUAAGAUCAUUUCAUUGUGUAUUUGAUAUUUUUACCUAAUUCAUUCUCUCAUUUCUAGUCCUACUUUUUUCUUUCCUCUUUCGGUCUUGCCCCUAAUAUUCAUCUCCCAAACGAGCUUGAGCUUAAUAAACUCGGCUCGAUUUUGAACUCGAGUUCGACUCGUUUGAACUUAAUAAACUCGGCUCAAUUUUAAAUUCGAGUUCGAGGUCGAACUCGAGUUUUCGAUCGAGUAUACCGAGUCGAUCUCGAACAGCUUGUGAAACUUGAAUUACUAAUCGAGCAAACUCGAACUAGCUCAAUUAGAGAUUCGAGUCAAACUCGAUUAUCGUGUGCUCGAAUUUGACUCGAUUAACAGCUCUACUCCUAGCUAUCUCUUACGUUUUUUUUUUUUUUACACCCGAUCCACAAGAAGACUAUAUAGUGUUGAGUCAAAAUAGUUAUCCGUCCUACAAAUGAGAUACUAGUUCAAGCUUGGAGUGCAGAAGCAAUUUCUUAUUCGUAGUCUCUAGCAAGUAAUGGAAAUAUGUUGAUGCUUCCACCCCCAAUGUACAAAAAUAAUUACUCCCCGGUUUUCUGGUUGAACCGUGUAGAAGAAAAAAUUAUUGGAGCUCAUGGGUAUGAUGUCAUAAAUAAACCAGUAGUAAUUAAUCUAAUCUGAUCUUGGAUUAUCAGUAACCGUACCGAAUACUGGACUAUUCACCAACAUUGUGGCCGAUUGCUUUUACUCCUAUCUUCUACUAUUAUACUCACAAAAGUGCCACCAUUUUAACAUCAUCUUACAUAUAUAAUCAAAAGUGUUUAAAAGGUCUCAGGACCUUUGGCUACUUAUAUUUCACGGAAAGGGUCUCUUCAACCUUGACAGGCAGCAGAACAAAUAUUAAAACCGACUCACUCUCACUGCCUAUACUGUAAUGCUUAAUUUUUUAAGGAGCAUCGCCGGGCCAAGAGUCGCUAUUUGCUGCUGCAAGACUAAUUGAUAAUAAAGCUCGAUGCCACCUCACAAAUCACACUUCCGAAAUGUCAACUAUGAAAGCCUUGACUUUCAUGAAAACAAAUGUUCUAAUUGUUGUCAUGAUCCCCUUCCCAUAUCUUUACCAGAGUACUCGCCGCUGCCACCAAAUGUUGCCGCUGCAGCAGCAGCAACAUCAAGGCCGCCACCAAUUGAUGUCAUUAAGGCAGAAAAUCCGCCUGAUGGGCCUCCACCAGCUGCCAUCCCCAAUCCAAGAAGGUCAAGGGUAGUAUGCUUGGGACCGAAUACAGAUGGAGUCCCCAACAUCAGUUCCUUCAAGCUAGACCCACCGUCACAUGGCAGCCCAAGUCCCAGGCCUGCUGCCAAUGAUGCACUAUCAGACUCAAUUCCCCUCCCACUCCACUCCUGCUGCCCGCUGGAAGCUGACGCCGAAGAAACAAUCCCGAACCCUCUCAGGAGUGAAGCAUUAGUUGCUGCUGCUCCAAUCUGAGCAGCUUUUUGCAGUAAUGCUGUUGCAGACAUGGCAGGUUGUGGUGCAGGCGCAUACUGCCUACGCUCUUGCCCUGCUGUUCCAAAAAUUGAUGAACCGUGACUUGUAGCAAGACAGAGGGAUAUGGGUUCCGUGGAAGAAGACGCUACGACUUCAGAUGCAUUCUCAGGACGAGCCACAGCUCUAAACAAGUCAGUAAAUUCAGGUGUUUGAGAUUGCAAGCUUGCCGAUGUUGUUGAUGAGGCAAAUAAGCUUGCAAACACGCUGCUGCUAGUACUUCCAUGACUGCUUGAGCUGCUGCUGCUACCACAGCUGCCGGUUAAGCUGGUCACAACAGAUGUUUCCUCUAGAAUCUGAGGUGGAGCGGGACUUUGCUUGGGAUUUUCAGGUCCCUCUGUUGAAUUAAACAAAUCAUAUAAAAAGAAUGAGCGAAAAAAAAAAAAGAGCAUUCCCUGGUAAAGAAGCAAGAAAUGACGAAAGUAUAACCUUUCUUAUUAAAGAGCUUUGUAUAUGAUUAAAAGAGAUUCAAUAAUACCCUCCUUUCUCGGCAUCAACUUAACUUUUAGCUUUUGGCUGGAUCUCUGUCCAUUCUUUACCAAAAGAUUGCUUAGAUUCAAUCUCAAUUUUUUAUUCAUAGUUGAGAUAUGGUUUUCCCCAAUUGAAGUUAGUAGUAGUUCAUCCUUGUUCUUAUAGCAAGGGAGUAAAUCUAGUCAACCAUAGAUGCAGAUAACAACAAAGAAGGGGAACAGACAAAAACAACUAGACUCCAAGAUUAAUAGACAAAGAAACAACAACAACAGUUUGCUUUUCUUUUCUUUUUUCCCGGCAAAAGUAUGAUAUACAUCCGACAAAACCCGGACUACAGAGCUACAUAACUACCCAUCAUCAGCAGUAGGUGGAGGAGGCUGAGCUACAAAUUGGCAGUUUCGAGCAGAAAUACCUGGAUUUUGAACAGGCAAAGCUGAAGAUACUAAAGCAGCUGGUGGAGGAGGCUGAACUGCUACCGAAGGUGGUGGUGAUGAGGAUGCAAGUGUUUGAAGCUUCGGCUCCUCAUCAUCAGCAGUAGGAGCUGGAAGUGCCUCAACUGUCUGUGCUUUUGCACUCUCCUCAGCUAAUGCAUCACAAAAAGCUCUGUGUGUAAUAAAGCUAUCCCUCCUGCAAUCAUCAAACAGACAUUAACAUCAUUCUUGAAAAUAAAAAGAAAAACAGAGGGAAAAAUUUAUCUUAACAAGGUAGGGAAAAGAUCAGUUAACCUUGAAAACAGAGUCCCACAAUCACAUUUAUAUUCUCUAGUUCCACAAAUCUUUGAAUGAGCUUUCCAAUCAGACUGAACAGCAUAUUUCUUCGAACACUUGUCGCAUUUCCACUUCUUUUCGCCAUGUUUUCUGCAGAAAUGCUUCUUAAUUCCGGUCAAAUCGCCCAAUGCUCGAGAAGGAUCGUGGUGAACACAGGUGAGUUCAGGGCAUACAUAAACUCUCUUCUUGACCUCUUUGCUCGAUCUCUGCCUAAGUUUCCAAGGCAAAUUAUGUCCUCUCCGAUGCAGCUGCAAAUUCUGGUCCCUUUGGAACCCUUUAUUGCAAAUUUCGCACACAAAUCUAUUUGUUGCCAACAGAGUCUUUGGUGACAAAGCAAUCACCUCUGCAUCCGGAUCUAAGAGAAAAACAAAAUGAAACUUCAGCAAUAAGCAAAAACAGAUUACCAGUCUUUUUAUGUUUUCCUUUCUGGCUCUUUUACCUGGCAUGCCUGGGAGAUUUCGUUUUUUCUUGGCAGAUGAUGUAGGAGGGGCUGCCGCUUGAUUGCCUGAAGAAGAAGCACUGGCAUCACCGGAAGCGGUAGAAUCAUUCAUGACAGAAGAGUUAUCCAUAUCGGCAGGCAUGGAAAGAGUACUGGAGUUGUUAAAAGGGAUUUUUAGACUGCUAGAAAGGGAAAUUUUGGGGCAUUUAUGCUGCAAAAAAACUUUUAGGAUAUAAAGCUCCUUUUUCGUUUCUACGGCUUAUGGUCACAGCACUCAGCUCUCAGACUUGUGUAUCUAUCCACCAGUCAAUCUAAUUUAAAAAAAAAAAAAUAUAUCGCCAACUACCAACUACGAUCAACUUUUGACCACGACCAGAUCAGAAAUGAGCUAAUUAGCAAAUCCCACUUCACAGAACCACCACCUGUAAGCUCUGCAGAUAACGGAAUCAGAGUCGCCAGAGAAUUAUCGCCGGUGAGCACGACAUGAGUAUCUUCAGCUAAAAGAAGAUGAAAUUUUGCUAUACUUCAUGAGGUUUCUAGAACAUGGACCUUAAAUCUAGGUAGCUGUUCACCUGUCUAAUAACCAGAAAACAUUUCAGCACCGAGCUUCUUGAAUUUCCGGUGACGUUUUCUCCGAUGCAAAUGCCGGAAAUUGGGCUGGGGAGCAGUACUUUCAAGAAGACGGCUCAGAAAACUAGAUGAAAGAGGAAAUUUAGGAGGGCAGAGAGAGAGAGAGAAGAAGAUGUGAAAGUCUUCUUGUGUUUGGUCUACAGUCGUGUAAUGUUUAGAUCAUAGAACAGGUAGCCGAUGUGGAUUUGAUUAAAGAAGAGCUAAUAAAUUAAUUAGAAAUCAUCAACAGUAAAUGGGGAGAAGGGCGAAAGAUAAUGACGGGUUAAGUUUUGUGGCUCACUUUUUAACCACGGUUUCAUUGUUGACCUGACCAUACGGUGUGGUAGAGUUUCAGUUAAAAACAGAAGAGUUUAAUGAUGGUGCAGAGUGCAGACUGCAACUCUGCUAGUGCUGCUCAAAAUGUUUUCGACGUGGGAUUGGGACACGUACGUUUAGCUUUCGAUAAAAAUUAGUGAUUAUUGUAGUGUUUUUUCAGAAAAAAAAAAAGAAAGCUAUAAUAAUAUAUUUCAGAAAUAUUUUAUUAGUGUAGUUUACAGAAAUAAUAAUAAUUAUAUUAGUGUAUAUUAAAUUAUGCAAAAACGUAUGGUAACCUUACAGUCAACCGCACCGAAACUUCAACCGCAUGUGUCUAGACCCUUUUGAUUUUUCUUGCCAUGGCCUUUACAAUUUUGACUUUCAAUUAUAAAUUUCUGCACAAUUUUAUUUUGUGAUAUAUAUAAUUUGUAUUAAAUUUUUAAAAUAAAUUUUGGUAAUUGUUUGUUUCAAUUAGGCUUUACGGUGUAUAUUCAAAGACUCUCGUUUAUUUAUUAAAAUUUAUUUACUUACAACAUCAAUACGUUUCUCAAUCAUUUUUUUUUAUCAAUGCAUUUUUUUAUGUACGAUGAAUAUAAAUGCAUUGUGGUCUCUAAGUUGUAGAGCGAGCAAAAGGGUUUUAUGCAGUAGCAAUUAUGUGCAAUUUGCACCGUUGAGUGCAACCUAUUGUUGAUUAAGAAAUCAGGACAUGUGUCAUAAGUAAUCAUCCCAUCCUCUUACUGAUUUAUGCCCUGCGUCCAGUCUCCAUUUCACACAUCCCCUGUAGCACCAAACGAACACAUGAACCUGGCUCUCUAAUUCCAUCUCGUAAUAAGUACUAAUAAGUUGCUUUAUUAAGACUAAUCGUCUAAUCAUCAUUCACCCUGGAGGUUUUUUUCCCGGUGAAAAAUGCCUUAUCCCACAAGAAAAGCAUCGAUAUCAUUGUUAGACUUUUGAUGAGUGAGACCGUCUUUCAUUCUUUUGCUGCUCAUAUUCUCUCCGUCAAUGCCAAGCUCUUCUAUCUAUAGUGAUAACAUCACGUUCUUUUCUUUAUAUUCUCUCUUCUUCUUUGUUUUUUUUGGUCCUUUAUUUUUCUUUUCCAUGACUUGCACAAGAGAAAAACCGAGCGGGAGAUGGAAUAGGCUGUGGGAAUCAAAUACCGGUUUGGAGAUCAGAGAAAUAAAACUCUCGCCCAUUGGGCAAUGCGUAGUUCUCUACUAUUUGUGAAUUUACCUGAGCAACGAAUACAAUUCACAAGAAGCAAGAUUAUGAAUUUAGCUGAAAUGAUGCACAAACAGGCCGCCCGCAUAUUUCAUGAAUUAUAGCUAAGCAUAAUCAUCACGUCAUGUUUGAUAGAGAAGAGUUAUUUCACUCAACUUACAAAAACAGAGAUUUUGUCGGAGAGAGAUUGACCAGUUUUUCGUGUUUACUAAACAGAAAACUAAUAAUACUCCUAGCAGAGAUGAAAAGCAAAGGCUAUACAUAGUCUGUCAAUCGAACCUAAUGAGCCGGGCUUUUAUAAACUCUAAGCUCAGCUCAUUUUAUUUGAAAUAUUUUCGAGUUUUCGGUUCAUAAAUGUGAAAUUCAUACUCAACUCGCAUAAUAUUCGGAUUGUGAGUCUUAAUCGGGUUUAGUCAAACCUCACUUAUUACUCCUUAAUUUUCUUAAUAUAAUUACUAUAACUAUUAAAUUGUAAAACUAAUUUAACAUUUACAAGACUAUAAUAUUAAAACUAAACAUGAACAAAUAAUAAUAUUUCUUAAAAAGUGUAUAAACCAAAUUUUUCAACAAUAUUUAUAUUUAAUUCGUUCAGAAUGCAUGAAAAAUAGUAAUUAAACAAUCAAUCAUAAGUCAAUACAUAUUUAAAAGUUGAAACUUUUUUUAUAAUCUUGUGAUUUAAAUCCAAAUAUGCUUGAUGAUUUGUGUUUGUAGACCAAAAAGAAAUCAACCAAUAUUAUGUCAACACAAAAAUUUACUCAAACCAAUAAGAAAAGUUAGAGAUUUAGUUAUGCAUUACUAAUAUUGGUUCUUAAGAAAGCUCCUGGAAGAGUUUUUAGAUUUAUUUUUGUGUUUUGUAAUUUAUAUAUAUUUAGUAUUUAGUAAUAAUAUAUUUGAAUAUAUAAUUAUACAUAAUAUUAAAAUAUAAAUAUUAUAUAUAUAUAGGUAAUUAAAGGGACGGGCCUAUAUCGGGUUUGAACCUAAUAUAGCACAAACUUGGCUCAUAUUUAAUUCGGACCUAAUUUUUUAGGCUCAAGCUCAGACUAAUUCACUAAAAUGUCGGGUUCAUCGGGUUUUUUGUUGGGCCAAAUUCGAGUUGACCCAACCCCAUUAAAACAGUCCUAGCUAUACACUUUUAACAGAAGUGUUUUUUGAGUUGAGAAUCGAAAAUAGAUCUAACGAAGUUCAAUUAAGAAACAUUAGGGUCCAAUUAUUGUUUGGAUAUUGGUUUUUCCCAUAAAAUUGUUUACCUUUUUUGUGAAUACAUCUCUCAAUCACUUUUUUAUUUUACAUAUAUCAAAUUAUUGCAAUACAAUUUUUUUAAAAAAUUAUAAAAAUAGCAAUCCAAACGGGAGGGCGGCCCCAUAGUUUUAGUACAAUUAUCAAUUAUACUAAAGUACACUUUCAAUAAUUAUGCCAAAAGAUAGUAAAAAAUAUAUGUAUAGUGAUCUUUUUGUUCCUUUACUUAUUGUUCUUAAUAAAAGAAUUGAAAUCAUUGUCAAAAAAGAUGAGGGACGAUCAUAUAAAUUUGAGUGACCUAACACUCUAGUUCAAUUAAAAUUUAACUAAGCAUACUCUUAGUAGUGCUAAUGGUAUCAUAUACCACGUUUUGAUACUUUACCUGUAAGUCUUUCUUGCCUUCAUUCAGCUACCUGGGCUAAAACAUCGUCUAGCUAAUAUCGACCGGGUCUUUGCGUUCACAUCACUAGCAUUGCUUGAUGCAACUGGUAGCUAAGUUCCAUCGAUUUGAAUCGGACCGUGACCGACCUUAUCCUUUUCUUGUCGGGCAAAAAGAUGUUGAAAAUAACGCCAGAGGAAUCGUACCUUAUUUGUGCUACUUUGUUUAGCAUUUAGGAAAAAUAGGUUAAAAUGUUUUCCACAUUUCACCAAUUAAAUUUUUUUACGUAUCCUACAAAAUCAAGUUGAUAAAAUGUAAUUACAACUUAAAUUUCGACUACUUUUUUAUCACCAAAUCCAUCAUGUGACUCACACAACAUAUGGUCUUAUUGUUUUAGGAAUAACAAAAGGUUAGAUCCUAUUUGUAGUUAAACAAAUGAUUUGAUUCAUAUUCAUUUUUAUUUCUAAAAAAAUUAGGAUCCAACAUGGAUCAUAUUCAUUUUUUCCCUAAAAAAGGGAUGUGAUUCAAUCCAUAUUGACUUUUGCCAUUAAAAAAAAGUAGGAUGUUAUCACAUUGUAUAUAAAAAAAUAACUGCAUGUAGGUCGCAUGAUGAUUUUAGACUAAAAAGUGAUAAAAAAAACUUAGGUUGGGAUCUAAUUUUGCUAACUUGAAUUCGUAAGAGACGUAAAGUUAAUAUUUUAAAUGUAAAGAAUGAAAAAAUUAAUGUAAUAAAAUAUAAGGGAUGUUUUGAAUAAAUUUUCCUAGCAUUUUCUUAUACUAAAUUUGCUUCAUCAAACCAAAAUAAGCUAGAAUUAGAGAAAUGAAGACCAACGACUGUGUAUAAAGAUGUGGCUCAAAAAAAAAAGGGAAGAGCUUGCUGCUUGUCAUCCGGAAAUAAGUUAGGUAUAAUUUUGCCGAGUUUAUUUUUGGAUUUUUGCUGUCAUUUCCACCUGAAAUCCCUACCACCAACUAGGGUUGCAAACGAAUCGAGCCGCUCGCGAGUCGAGUUCGAUAUUAAUCGAGCUCGAACUCGAGCUCAGAAUAUUAAGCUCGUUAGCUCGCGAGCUUGAGUAUAUAUAUAUAUAUAUUUUUUUUUAUUUUUAUUUAAUAAUAAAAUUACGUAUAUUAUAUAUAUAUAUAUUUUUAUUUUUUAUUUUCAUAGUGAAAUUACGGAUAUAUUCUUAAUAUUUUAUUAUUUAUUCAGAAAAAAUAUUAUUUUAUUUAUUUUUUUUAAAAUAAAAUAAUUUUUUAUAUUUUUUUCGAGCUCGAGCUCGAGCUCGGCUCGACUUGAUUCGAGUCGAGCUUGAGCUCGAAAAUUGCCAGCUCGUCGAGCUCGAGCUCGAGUUUGGUAAAAUUUAGUCGAGACUCGGCUCGAUUAGCUCAAAACUCGACUCGGUUCGGCUCGUUUGCAGCCCUACCACCAACAACCGUAAAUAAACGCGCACACAUACACUAUCUAAGGGAAACGUACAACUCAACUCAAAAGGCAUGUUGACUUUCAGGCCACACUGAGAACCUUAAGUAGUACAUACACACACCACUCACAAUCGAUGUGGAAUAGAGGAAAAGGAGGAGGAGAAACACCACGACUAUUGCCCAAAGGCUCACUUCAAAAUGUGUUUUUGUACCAUUCUUGAUGUCUGUGUUGAAUUUCAAAAUUCAGAAUGACAAGUUUUUCCCACCUGAAAUCCCUGCCACAAAAUGUGUUUUUCUACUUUUUCCUGAUGCCUAAGUUGAAUUUCAAAAUUCAGGAUGACAAAAAAUUUGUUUUUUUUUUGAUGUCGUAAAAUUGGUUGAAAUUAAGGCCAAGCCUGUUACUGAUUGCUGUUUUGAGGAUACAGUCUAGCUAUUAAUGGUUACAAUUUACAUCUACUAAUCAUUUUCCGAUAACUGGUUUACAUUUUGCCUUACGUUUAUAUAUUUUAUUUCUUCGUUAGUACGUAUUAUUUAGAAGUUCAAAACAUCUACAGUAAAGCUACUUGUAGUGCUUGAUUGUCAUCAUUGUCCAUUACAUUUCCAAUUUUCUUCUAAUUUGACAUUUCGAACAUUCGGCCAAAAAAAAAAAAAAAAAUCACCCUUGAUGUUCUAAUCACUUAUGUCUAUUGUCUAAUUUUUAUUAACAUAUUAAACAACCGUUCUUUUUUUUUUUUUUAAUAAAGAAGAUCAACAGUCCAGCAACAAGGCGUCAAGAUAGAAGAUGGCAACGAUACGAGGUCCGGCGAACUUUGCAACUUUAUAAGACUAGUACAAUAGAGACCUUUUGCUGUUGUUUCAUUGUGAUUCUUUUGCUGAGUUAAUUUGAUGUUUUAGUUUCCUUAACCAAGAUGGCAUGCCAGUAAUUGAUUUGACUUGACAUUCAAUAAAAGGGGUUGGCUGAUCUCAAAAGCUUCAAGGCUUAGAAAGUUUACUUUUAGUUUCAAAGGAUGGAGGACCACCUCAAUAAUCACGAUGCUUCUUCUUCUUUUUCUUUUUUUUUUUUUUUUUUAUAAAUAUAUGUACGUAUAUAAAGUUUUAGCCUCCCAAAAUAAAGAGAAAAGGAUCCCGGCAUACUUUCUUUUUGUUACCUGGAGCCUGGAGGAUAUGCCUGCAGUAGCAUUUCGGCUAUGCAAAAAAGUCAAUGACAAUUCAAGAAAAAAAAAAAGUGCAAUUGCGAAUAUAGGAAUGAUGCAGAUAAUUGAACAUAUGGCAUUUGUUCUAUUCCAGGAUGACAAAGAUCUUUAGGUCCCAAGAAUUUAGAAAUUACACUUCAUUUCCUUAAAGUAUUAAAGAGUUUUAUUUACUAUAUAUUUGUAAAAAAAAAAAAAAAAAAAAGAUUUUGUGCCUGAAAAGCAUCCUAAUUAUCAGAGUUGAAGGAUGGAGUCCUAAUAAACUAAUUAUUAUUAUUAUUAUUAAAAUCAAGAGUAAAGUUAUAAACACGGUAGAGAAGAGAGUUGCAGGUUUUAGACUCGUGGUGGUCAAGAUGAGAAAGAAAUGCAAAAAGGAACGCGCUGUGCCGUCAAAAUUCAAAAUUAAAAGAAAGGACAAAUGAUCGAGUUUGAAGUACAAAAGCCAAAGUCUACUGUAGCGUAGUUUCUUAUUAUUAUUUUUUUUUUAUAAUAAAAAUAAGAAACAAAAACGUACGAGUGCUUUAUAGUAAUAAUAUUGCAAAACGCAGUACUGUAAAAAGUUUCCUGAUUUCACUUCAGAAAGGGUGCACGUUCUCCGACGUGUCUCAGAAAAUUUUUUUUUUUUUUUUUGGUUGUUGUUGUUGUUAGCAACUUAGCAUCAACUAGUUUCCAUGCUGCUACUAUCAUACAAUGUUUGCUUUCCAUAUUUAUCAUGAAGAAAUACGUAGCAAGUAAGAAAAUCACCGGCGACUCUCUCUAUGGAACACAAGAAAAAAAAAGCAAUUUCUCAUACUUUCUCUUCUCUUAUCUCCAUUUCCUACCACCCAAACGCUCCGAGGCCUAUGGUAAAAUAAAACCAAAAAGAGUAUAAUAAACUAGAGAGCGAAAUCAUCAUCAUUUAGUAUAGGACUCUAUGCCAUGGUAACACCCACAAAGCCGGCACAAGACUUCUCUCAACAUCCACAUAAUUAAUUGCAUUGACUUGGAACGCAAUUGCUUUACCCUUUUUUUCUUUCUUCCUUCUCUCUUUAAAAGAAUUUGUCAUAUAUAUAUCAAACUUGUUAUCAUGCUGGACAGAAAUGAUGGCCUAGCCAAGUUGGAUUUCUAGUGCAGCAAGGCACUCGUUCUCUUUAUUCAAAACUCAAAAUAGGAGGAGAGAGUAUCGCAGGGAACCCUUUUCCUUUUAACUCUCCCAGGAGAGUAUCAUAUGGAAUGGAACGCCGAUCUUCGACUGAAGGCCAAUUCAUUCCAAAAAAAAAAAAAAAAAAAAAUUUUUUUUUCCCUUAAAAAAAAAAAUAUUUAAUAAAAGCUUUUGGGGUGGGUAGGAGAUGAUAGGUUGGUCUCAAUCGAUGAGAGGGGUCGAUCACAUUAACCACCACGCCACACCAGCUGAACAAUUUCUGAGCAGAACACAUGCAUUCAAUGCAUGGACAGGCGGGGCGUCUGGCAGUUGACCAGGGAUGCUGCAGCAGCAGCUUGCAAUGCAAUGCACGACUCCUUCAGUCGCCAUGCCAUGUACGGGACACGGGACAUGACGAUGCCGAAGCCCUUACCUGCGCGAGGCAAUUCAAAUUUCAAGUUUGAUGAUGAUGAUUAAUUUCCCAUGGACAAGUUUGAUUUUUUUGCUUCUACAAUGACAGAUCGCAGAUUUUAUUUAAUGUUUUGCUUUUCCAUCCUGUCCGUACUUUACUCUCUGCCCCUAUCACACUCAUUUUAACGCCGAGGAAGAUUACUUACGCAUGAUUAUAUUAGGAACCAAGAGGAAGAAGAGUGAAGGAGUUGGGACGUUUAGCUUAAUUAAAUCCUUAUGCAACGUAUGGAGUUCUUGUUAUAACACCCAUCUACAAGGUGGUUACAAAUUAAAUGAAGUUGCACUACUUUCCCCCGGCUAAUUUCUCAGAUUAUUUGUAUUUAAAAAAAACAUCCGCCAAAUGCACCUCUGACAUGGGUUUUUCUAAUUGUAUAGCGUCAGCACGGCCGCAUAACUAAAAAUUCCACCCAGAUCUUCUCUGCAAAAAAAUUCAAUGAUGCACAGUCGGUGUCAGAGGGGACGGGCUGACUGGGCACGUCCCCGGCUGACAGAAAACUGACUCCGUCUGCGUAUGAGUCAGAGGGAAAAAAGCAAAACUUGCAUUAUUCCAUCCGGGAAAAAAAAAGGAAAAGAUAAGGAAAGGAGCAAGUGAGCUCCAUUGAUCGAAAAGAGAUUCCCCUGCAGCUUUUUUGUGCUAAUGGUGCAGGCGAACCCCAACUACAGCCAGCAAAAGUUUUUAAUUAAAAAAAGAAAUUUAAGCUGGCUGCCGGCUUGCAAGUUUUUUUCUUUUUUUUUUUUUUAAAGUUAAGUUGCAGGUUGUCAGCCGACUAAACAUUGUUAAGUACUUUUAAGUACUAUUAUAUUUAUUUUUACCUUUAUUCUUUUAACAACCCACUACCAAAUAAUAAUUUAUUUGUAUAUUUUAUUUAGAUAUAUAUCAAUUUUCUAUAUAUUUUAUAAAAAAAUAUAAAACCAAAUUUUAUACAUAAUAAUUUCAACGAUUAUUUUUCAAACAUUUGGAAAAUGCAUAUUCUUGUAAAUUGAAUGACAUUUUUUUAUCUAAAAACUUUUUUUAGGGAUAAAAAUAAUUAAUUUAGCAAAUUUAUCUUGACCUUUUUCAUACGUUUGAGCUUAACAAAAAAUUAACCACAAAGGCUACCGAUAGCAUAAGUUUUUAUUUUUUUUUUAAAGUAAGCUACAGGCUGCAGGGCUCAAACCUUAAAAAAAAAAAAAAAGAAUUCUCUUGUCUACCGGACUGACUCAGCCCGGUAGGCAUAGUUUUCUACUGCCAAAUUGUCAGAACAACAUUGUUCCGACCUUUUUUUUUUGGGCAAUAAUCAGAGCAAUUAGCCCAGUUUCAAUUAUCAAAAUUAAAAAGCAAGAUAGGCUUUCAAAGUUGAAAUUUUGAUACAAAAAUGCACAUGUAUCUUAGAAAAUUUAGUCUUUACUUUUGUAAUAAAUAUGAUGACUUUUAUUUUAUAUGGUUGUGCAUUUGUUUAUUUAAUUAUAAAGGGUAACUAAUUGCUUGAAAAUGUUAUUAUGUUGAAUAUGCUAGAUAUUUUGGAGAAGUUUAUUACAGUUCUUCUCUAAAGAUAGAAGAUUGUGCAGCGUUUCUUUCUCAUGCCAUUUUAGAAGGAAUUUUUUCUUUUUUUUUUGGUUUGUUUACAAAGUUUAAUAGAUGGCAUAUUUGGCUUACAAUAUCAAAUUGGAUUUUUAUGCUACUAGAAACAGGUAAAGAGAGGGUGUAACUUGAAAUUGGAGAGGAACUUUCUGCAAUUGUCAUAGAUCUUGAAAGAAGUUCGUGAAAUUAUCCAUAUUCUUUUUCAUAAUUGGGCUGAAUCAAUCGUAAUCAAUUAAGUAUCCCUUAGUGUGGGCUGGUAGGAAAAUUUGGCGUGAAUGAAAGGUUUGCAAUUUUGAUGCGCUUUUAGUAUUGCCCACCAGGCAGUAUACCACUCGAAAUGGAAAAAUAAAUUGGGGGACGUGCCCAAUCAGCACGUCCCCUCUGACACAUGAGCAGACUCUGUCGGAUUUCUUUCAGGCGGGGACGUGCCCAGUCAGCACGUCCCCUCUGACUCAUACACAGACGAGUCAGUUUUCUGUCAGCCGGGGACGUGCCCAGUCAGCAGGAAUGAGAACUCCGACAUGCGCAGGAAUGACUUCCAACUACUGACUGCAAAUUUACGAAGUAGCAAGGAAUGAAAAGGACACAACAGUCGGUGACUGCUAUUCAUGCACAGACCUUAACACCCAGGUGCAUCUCACCGUGCAACACCCAGUUUUAGACUACCACUGUUACCGAAGACUACCGCAAUAUUUUGUAUACCAGAAGUGAACAAUUCAUCGUGCGAAUUUAUGAAGGGGUGGCCCAAUUGUAAGGUGAUCAUCCGACCAGCAACCACUGUUAGGUCCAAAAUACUAAUUAAUGCAUCUAUUUACCUCUUUUUUUUAUCAGGAAUAUCACUUCCCCGACCACUGUAGAAUUUAACCCAAAAAGGCUGAAGCAUUGUCCCAAUUUAACACAAAGAGGAAUGACCAAAGCCACAUAUUGUAUGUGAACGGUUUCAAUUUUUUUACAUGGAUGAUCAAAAUAUGACAAACCACAUAUUGGAUAUAGGGCCAAUCUAUAGGGAUGCAAUCAAGACAUCUUGGGGUACUUUUUAUUUCGUUGCCUGCUAUAUUUUUAGAGUAUUUGACCAUGUACCCUGUGAGGCAUUUCAAGACACAUGUAUAAAGUCGAACUCAUUCUAUUGGUUCACUGAAUUCCAUCAUGAGCUCCCUGGAACUUUUGGUUUUGGGACAUCCAAUCUUAAAGGUAUGACAUCUUGGGACUUUCCUUUUGCAGCCUCCUCCCUUUCCUCCAACUUCCUUGUUUCCCUAAGCUCCACAUAUGGGUAGUAAUGCUGGUACAUGUACAAGCAAAAGCCUCGACGACACAACUUGAUUUGCAUUUAGAGCUCAUGCUUCCCAUGUCUUCUAGAGAAUCUUACCGCAAACCACCAUUAAGAGAGAGCCAAUGGCUAUAAUUCAUGAAUGGAGGUUACCAGAGGUUCUUUACUCUUUUUAAUCAGAAAACAAGGUCAUCCAACGAAAUAAAAAACCUCCUACGUCUCCAUUUUCAAGUUUAUCAUACAUACUUUAGAUGAUCAAGGUUAAAAGGUGGUCAUCUCAUACAUUAUUUGUCCAUAUCUUUUUCCAGCACAUCACCCUAUUUAACAAGUAUUUACUCGGUCCUUUUUACAAAGACAAACCCUCCUCAAGUUUUGGCAUUUCGUACAUCACCGAACCCUAUUCGAAAUCUGGAGCCUUAUCAAGAGAAAAAUCACUCAUAGUCUUUUAACUUGUCACACCACCUUCUCUACUUGGUUUGUGUUAUUGCUUACCAUUUCCAGCUCAAUAUGAAGAUCAACCAGCACUUGCACAAUCAAACUCACUCGCAGAAAAUUUUCGUUCCAAAUACGAAAUAUUAAGGAAAAUAUCGUAUGAGUUUCAACAUCAAAAGAAGCAAUUAUGUUUAAGCUGUAACUGAAACAUACAAUGGCAAAUUGGCAAUUUAGGCUGCGGUGAAGAAAACAUAAAACGCAACUUCACGCACUUUAAGACAUACUCAUUUAAAGUUACAGCUGGUGCUAAAAGUUCUUGCAAUUCCUGUGUUGCACAACAGUUCCCUGCAAAAACAAAAUGGAUACAAUCUUAGUCAUAAGCUACAACACAUUAUUUCAUUAGUCAUGAGAAAAAUUGGAGUCAUUCACAACAACCAAAACCCUUCCCUGUCUUUAACUUCUUGUAAUUGACUCCAGUUUUCUUAACGAGGCCAAUAAUAUGCAUCCGCUAAGAAUUAAAAACGAAUCUUGCUAACAUAAGCAGAAACAAGAAAUCGCAGUAUGAUUAGCAAUACAGAAGCAAUUUCGACAGAGAACUGUUGAAAUUUGAUUUAAAUAAAUUUUUAGCAUGGAUGUAGGAGGUAAAAACAAGAGAAUAAAGACGAGUAUCAUAACUGCCUACACUGUGCAAACUAAAUUCGUACAAUUGCCAGCAGGAUAAUUGUGCUAUUGAAUCUGGAUCUACUUUGCCUAAAUUUAUUUUACAGGCAUAUCAGAGUAUGAACCAGCACUGAUCCAGGAAAUGAAAGAGGGAUUCAAUAGGUUUAAGAAAUUUUCAUCUGUAUCAAAUGGAAGGGAGUAGCAGCCGGUAAAAAGGUUGGUAAGCCAACACAGUGGAACUAUAUCCGGGUGUUUUAGAAUAUACAUCUUUCCUUAAUUGAAGUCAUAUAUAAGCAUAUUUCGCUACCAUGAUGUUGUGAAUCAAUAUAAACCAGCCAAAUUUUCUGACUUGUCCUUUGCAGUCUGCAUCACUCAGAACUGUCCAGCAUUUUACCCAUGAAGAAGAGUUUAUGCCCAUUUAACCUCUCUGUACCUUUUCUUCACCAACAUUUAAUUGGAAACCUCAUGCAUUACCUUCAUGGAAUUAUCUAAGCAACUAAGCAUUUUAAUGUUUUCCAUGUAUACAAUAUACAACCACAAAAGACCAAACUUAGCUUGAGUAUUCUCAUACUUUGUCCUGACUAUAACCAUAUAAGCCUUAAUAAACUUUGUCACCUGCUUCUGAGUUCCCUGUUUGCCACUUCCAGUAUGGUAAAAAGUAGACCACCACAAAAGAUCUAACAUAGCUCAAGUGUUCUCAUAAGUUGUUCUAAACAUAGUCGUACGAGACAAAAGAACUAUUUCACUUGCUUCUGAGGUCGGGGAGUUCAACUUUCAAUAUGUCAAAAGAAAGUUACAAUGAGAAGGAUUGCUAGGCCUCCUAUUCUACUGAAUUGCCCAAUCAAGUGGAGUAUAUGAACAAUUUUAAAAAAAAAUAAUUUCUUUACCAUUUCAUUUAUUUCUUCCAGUGACUUUUAGCUGUUCUAUCACAUAUGACUGCAAAUAUAGCUGUAGAUGUGGAAACCUAGUAUUAAGUACUUCCAUACAUGAACAAGACAAAAACCUACAACUUAUCUCACUUCAUUCAUAACCGUUGAAGUUGCUCCUAACAAAUAUCAUGCCACAUCUAAGCAAAUGCCAAGCUAGCCACAUCACAAACUUUUUGUUUUUUCAAUGCAAAAAGACAUAAUUUUUAUCAACAAAAGGAGGCAGGUACUUGCAAGGAAACAGCAUACAGCAAGCAUCCUUUUAACACAAGGACGGGAGGUAUGGCUGAAGUUCAGCAAUUUGGAGCAACCAACAACAAUGAGAAGGGCAUUCAAGAUAUGAGGAGUUCAUAUUUUAACCACUCGUCGGAAAAACAGCAAAAGAAAUAGAGGUACUAAGAGAACUUCAGCAGCAGUAUAUAACAUGCCCAAUAUAUACCAUGACUAGCAAAUGCAGGAUUGAUGGAGAAUUGGUUAUUUCAAGAUCCCAGCAAGGAAUCACAAUUGCCUUGUACACGAUUUUUAAGGAGCAAAGAUUUCAGUUUACAUGAAAAUUAAAAAGGAAAGAAAACACGUAACCAGAAAAAGCCGAUCACAAAAGAAAACAAAGCCAAAUCAUCCGCCCAACUUUUUAUCGAAAUUAGCAAUUAAAAUGUGAUCUUGCAAAAACAGGCAAUACUAAAAUAUUAGUACCUUCUACAAAACUCGGCAAAAUAUCGGAAGCCAUUGUAGAAAACAAACCACAUCAAAACGACCACCAAGAUAUCUAUCAAACUGUUAAGUAUCCCACAUCAAUCAACUCCAAUAAAGAUCCAAAUUACAGCAUAGAGGAUUGCAUUUAAAAUUUACAGAAAUCUAAUCAUUAAAGCUUAUGAGGAAAUGAAUCAGCCAAAAGGAUACUGAAGAGGCAACGUUCCCACCAGUCGAGCAUGUAGAGUCCGAAAGUGACAUUAUAUAAAUAAAUUUUACGUUGAAACCAAUUCAUUCUUUAAUUUUGUGAGACGCUUAUGAGAAUGAUAUCAGAGAAUCAGUUGAAAAAUUUUCAACUAAUUGAAUGAUAUCAGAAUCGAGUGAAUCAAAUUGAAGGAUGAGAAAAUUCAGCGGCGAAUUUGUGUUACCUUGCUCUAGGAAAUUUUUCCCAGCUGCACAUCCGAAAGAUGAGUUCAGACAAUCGUUAACAUUAGCCGCCAUUUUAAGGAGUCGAGCUCGGAUCAGAUGGCUACAAAGGUUAAGUUUUUUUUUUUUUUUUUUUUUCAGUUUACUUCUCUCUCUCUCUCUCAAGGACUUUAGGCUUUUUAGAAUGAAUUUAUUUUUGGUCAAAUUCCUCGGACACCCUUCGUGAGUUUUUUAAGUUAGGCUUUUUAGAGUGAGUUUUUCUUCCACAAAUAUCUCCAAAUCAACGUUUGCAAUCUAUAAAAAGUUUCGAAUCUAGAUAUCAUUAUUGAGGGUGCAAAUGUUUGAUCCUUUUUAUAGAGGUAAAUGUUCAUUUAGGAACUUUGAAAAAAAAUUACUAAGGUCUAAUAUUACUAGAAACAAGUAAUCAUUUGCAACAUUGGAUUAUGCAUGGUUAAAUUUUUCACUAAUAUGUGUUUGGAUUGUAAAUUAUUUGAGAUAAUUUUAUGAAAAAGUACUGUAACAUUUUUUUUUAUAUGAUGUAUGUGAGAUAAAAAGAUGAUUGAAAAAUAUAUUGAUAAUGCAAGCAAAUUAGUGUGUGUAAAACUUAAAUUCAAAGUAUAAUGGGUAUAAGUGGACAUUUCAAACCAUAAGAGAUAUGUCUUAAAAUCACUUAACUAUAAAACACGUAUGUGAAAUUGAUCUUUUAUUUUUGUUCUUUUUAUUGUUCGAUGCAAUUUUUUCCCUUUUUGUCAUUUUGCCAAUUACUCUCUUUUCAUUUUUUGGGCUCAUUUUCAGGAAAAGGAAUGAGUUAGAAAAUUCAAAAUUAUUUUUCAAAAAAAAAAAAGAGAUUAAAAACAAGUAAAUAAUUGCCCAUUACCCCAAAAAAUGACGUGUCCUUGCGCAUACAUUGCAGUUGUAAUUUGUAAGCAAUUUGUUUUGUAGAUCUCGCAAUUACUAUAUAUAAAUUAAAAAAUUUACUAUUACAUAAUUCAAAGUAAUUCAAAUUUUAAAAAAAUAACACAUCAAAACAGAGUUAAUUAAUUGUAUAGUACCACAAAUUAGCACUCCUAUCUUUACAUGCGAUAUGGAAAGCUAAGAUGAAAGAAGUUAAAAAAAAAAAAAAAUUGUCUUCCUCUAAGCUAUCGUCUUAAAAGUAGGAGUCAAACGAAAAAAAUGAAUUUAUUUAGAAAAAAGAAUAAUCACAAAAUUUUCUCAAAUAUGCUUAAUAUUUUUUAUUUCAAUUUUCAAGAAACAAAUUUUGAAAACAAAAACCAUCACCAGCCUGAGUCGACAAAAAAAAAAAAAUUAUGAAAGAAAAGAAAAGAAGAGAAAAAAUAUUUCUUUUCAAAUUGAUAGACAGAUUAAAAAAGAAGAAAAUAAUUGUAGAUUCAUUAGAUAUUAUCAUUUUAUUAUUGAACAUUUUAUUCACAACUUUCUUUCCAUUUCUUUCAACCUAUCCCUCCAUUUCCUCUCUUUUUAUUCCCACUUAAAACUUCCAAACAAGAGAAAUCCCUUCUUCUUCUUCUUCUUUUUCCUUCUUUGCUCUCCAAAUCUCACCCUUCAAAAAGGAGGGGGCAAUUGAGUAAUUAAACCCUGGACUAAACCCUUCCCGAGUAGAACAACGGCGGCAAAAUUUUCGUGGAACUGUUCUUACAUUCGAGCUUCCUUCAAAAAUCUCUUCUUCCCCAGCUUUGCUCCGCAUGCAUUUUUCUUCACAGCUUUAGGCCAAUACCAUCAGUAGCGGCGGACAUGGACUUUGACGACCUGGACGAGCCGAGCCAGGCUCCAACCCGGCCCUCUCGUUUCGCACCCAAGGGCUCCAAAUUCAAACCUAGAACAGAGCCAGUUGCAGCAACCUCGAACUCCAUUGCUAAAAAGGAGGAAUUAGAUUCCAAACCAGUAUCACCGAUUAAUUCCUCCACCACCGCUGCCGCUGGAAAAGCUGAAGAUGCAGCAUCCGCUUCCGUUUCCCAAUCCGUGGCAAUGGAUGUCGAUGCGAAGGUGGAAGAAGAAGCAGAGCAACCGAAAGAUGAACCGAUGGAGUCGAGAGAAGAAGGAGAAGAUGAAAUUGUGAGAGAAAUUGAUGUUUAUCUGACACCUUCUAUUGAUCCUAAUACCAAGGUUAGUGUUUCUGCUUUAAUUAAUCUGUACAAAAUGUUCUAGUGAUUUUUUUCUUUGUUUACAUUAGUUUCUAUUUAAUAUUUCAGCUAUACGUGUUGCAAUAUCCUCUGAGGCCAUUGUGGCGGCCAUAUGAAUUAGAUGAUAGAUGCGAAGAGGUGCGUGUUUUUCCCUUUCUUACCUAACUUAGAAUGAUAGGCUGGGUUAAGUUUCAUGUGUUGACAUUCUUUUAGAAAAAUUGAAUCAAAGAGUGGAAUGAACUGCUGUAUAGGAAGGAAUUUGAUCCCAUUCUUAGGUUGAGUACUAAAGGAGGGGUUUGGGAUUGAUUUGCAGGUGCGAGUGAAGUCUAAAAGUGCUGAAGUAGAAGUUGAUUUGGCAGUUGAUGUUGAUUCCAAGAAUUAUGACUCUGAUGCUGAUCCUAGAGUUUCAAUGACUAAGCAGGUAGCCUGUUUUCUAAUUUCAUUAUUCAUGUGUUCUGUCCAAAUUAUACAAGUGUGGCAAAUUUUGACAGAAAUCAAGUCUUUUGAUGUAGCAAUUGCUUUUGAACUACUACUAAAUGAAACCUUGCAACAGCACAGUGACAUAGCUUAUAGAGUUUAUUGGAUGAGGGACCUGAUAAGGCCUCUCCAAGUCCAUAAGAAGUAUCUUUAUAAGUGAUGUACUUCCCAGCAUAUGCGCCUGAUUGCAAAAUCUGUAGUCUCAAUGGGCUUCCACAUGAUCCUGUGUUUUUUCUGAUUAAAUAAAGCUGAUAGGAUUCUUGAAGUAUUAAAGUUCCUUGUAGCCGUUUGAAGUUUCCGUGAACUACUAGCUACAUCAUAGCUAAACUCCUAUACCUUUUGUUUUUUUUUGGGGGUCCUAGAUUGCCCAUAGUUUGAUAGAGUUUUAUAUUUUGUGAUUGGAUGAUUUUCUUUGUCUUCAAAGAGUUUUUGUUUCAUAUCUUUAUGCUAUUAGUAUGGCUGGGAUUUGUUUUUCUGUGUGAUUUCUGUUGAAUCUCGUUUGAUUUAAGUAUAUUACCAGUAUAAUCCAUAAUAUGUUUGCCUGUGGUCCUUUCCAGACUCUUACCUCAUCAUGGAAGCCACCUGUCACAGCUGGAUAUGCUGUUGGAGUUCUUGUUGGAAACAAGGUAUGCUCUUUUAUCUCGUUGAUUCUCAUUUUACAUGUAUUUUGUGUUUUUCUAUUUGGACUUAUUGGACUCUAUGCUUUCUGUUUGGUUCUGUUAUUUCUGGUUGUUUCUUGCCUUGACCUUCUUCUCGUCUAACAUUAUAAGCAAUUGAAACUUAAAAUUGUAGGUAAUACUCAUGGUUAUCUCACUGUAGCAGUAUGAUAGCAGGACUCUACAAAGUUGAAUUGCAUUGCAAAUUAAGAGAAAUCAAAUUCAACAAGAAAAUUUUUGACAUUUCUGGACAUAAAUGUCCUUACCAACUUUAGCAGGAGCAUUGAAACAAUGUAUUCACUGAGAGGCAGACUGUCUAUCUACCGCAGUUUUCCAAGAGACGAAUCAAUUAAAUGACUAGUCACUGCAUAAAACAUCCACCUUUCUGUGAAUCUAUUUGCACUUGUCCAAGAGAAAGAGAAGGAUAAAGAUUGCGUAUUCAUCAUAUCCACACUCAUAAGCACAGACGGCAACUGACAGUUGAGAAAACUUCUGGCAGAACUAUCACUGAUAUACCCACAAGUCUUUAUAGAUAGUUACUUAUUUUCUGCUGAUUUUGGGCGCUCCCCUCUAGAAUACGGUGAAAUUAUUAGAAAUGAAUGGUUGUUGGUUGACCUUUGCCCGUUUUAAUUCUUGUUUGACUUUUGCUAAAUGAAAUUAGUUAUAACAAUACUCAAUUAGAAGAUUUUUCUUGUACGUGUGACUUGUUUCGCAUUUCUAUAUUGUAAAGUUCUAUGAUUGCUUUUUUGUCAUGCAGUUACACCUGAAUCCUAUUCAUGCAGUUGUACAGCUCCGACCUUCAAUGCAGCAUUAUAAGCCUGAGAGUUCUAAACGGCGAACUACUGCAAGCAGUAACCUUGAAGAUAACACAAAGGGGGAAGAAGUAACUACUGGGUCAUUGAAGAAGCAGGUUCUGCAUUCUGCCCCUCUUUUCUCGUUUUGCCAGUGAAGCUACUAUACCUUUUAGUCAUAAUUUUUAUGAGGUCCAAUGAUCUGAUGAAAUGGAAGAUGUAAAACAUGCUCACUUUUAAUGAUGAUGAGGAUACAACUGGAAUAUUUGAUUUAUCCAAGCUUAAUCUCUCUCAGGAUUUAAUCCCCUUGGUUAAUUCUAGACUUCAAAGCGAGAUGUAUGGUGUUGGGGUCUUUGCUAGGCAUCUAGACAGUGCUAUUGCAGGCACUUUUGUAGGGCUAAGUUUUAUGUAUCAUUUCUGGAUUGAGUCAAGCUAAAUAAAGCAUUUCUGAGUGUCCAUUAUCUGAUCAGAUCUUAUAAACUUGGAUUACUUCAUCUGCAGGGUAAGUCAUCUGGGCCUGUGAUUGAGCAGAACAAAGAUACUAGAGAGGUAUCCUUCCAUUUGGUCUUUAAAUUGUUCAUCAAGAAAAAAUUCAUUCAUAUUAAUCUCAGCAACUAUCGUUCAUUUUAAAAAUUCAUUCAUGCAAUUGUCUUUAAAUUGUUCUUCAAGAAAAAAUUCAUUCAUUUUCCUCGCAUAGGUUUGUCAUUUUUAUUAUGACUACGGUCCUUGAAAUAGAGAUUAGAUAACUACAGUAUUUUGUUAAAAAUUCAAAGCUACAGCAUUUUGUUUUGUGCUUUUUAUUGUAUGGAAAAAUUGGUAAAGUGGAUUCACAAUCACGAGUGUGAACAGCAUAUCUUUAUGGAUUGAGUGAUUUAUUUAUUUAUUUACUUUUUGCUUAUUAAAUGAUAGAUGCGCCUUUUACAACUUAUCAGUCUCUUUGUUCUUCUCCUCUUUCUCAGGAUUGGAUACCUCUCAACUACCAUGGAGCAAGGAGUGAUAUUUCGAUGAGUUAUGUGAGAAAAAUGGUUGAACAUGAUUCUUCUCAUAUACAAUUUUCAAUGAACAGGUAUGAUUCAUUACUGUAUUUUGUAUCCUGUUAGUAAUGAGUUAGAACCCACCUGGAAUCUGCUGAGCAAAAAUGUGAUGCAGCUUGAGUAGAAGACAGUUUAAAGAGUUUAGCUUCUGAAGCUUUUCGCUUUAACCCCAUUUGUUUUUUGUUUUCAAUUUUGAAGGCAUGACUAUGUGAACACCUUGUGUCCUGGCACAUCAAAUGAGAAUAAUGGAUCCAAUGGGCCUUCGAGAAGGUAUUUAACACAUUAAUUGAGUGAUAGGUGACAUAAGCACUGAUUUUUAUGUUACAAUGUCAAAUUUUUUCUUUCUUAAUUUCGAAUUUUUUACAUACAAACUCAUUGGGGUUAAAUUCUCUAUCAUACGGGAUGACUUGUUGAUUUCUAACAGUGGAUAAGAAAAUGUCUGUUUAGUGGAUGAGUAAUUUACAUGCUCAUUUGGCUUUGGCUGGUUAGAGUUGUACCUCAUAUGGUCCUUUAGCUUUCUUUAGAUACGUUGAUAUCAGGUCAUCCACUGUCGUCUGUAGGAAUACAAUUUUGAUGUUGCUUUGGUACAAUAUUUGUUGGCUUUUUGCUGUGGUGGUAGAAUCGUGUUUCAUUGCUUCACUCAAGUGAUCUCAUUGUCUGAUUUUUUCCUGUUCCUGCCUUUACAUCCCGUCUCAAGAGCCAGCAAUGACUGACAUUUGGUGAUAGGGACUCUCCAAAUGCUCAGUUUCUUAUGGAACUUAUAUUUAUUUCUAUUCCUGCAUUUUCUUUUGGUGCUAAUUUCUAUUCGUGCUUUUGAGAUUGUCUCUCUUUCUGAAUUGUUGAGACUCCAGGGUUUUGCUCUCAUUGCCACUUGAAGAACGAUUUAGAACUUGGCUUCUUCAGGUACAUUCUGCUUAUUUGGACUCGUGAAAUUCAUUGAAUGAAUGAACUAUAGAUUUUUAUUGGAAUCUGAGUGAUGACUGUAGUUGAUCUGCUUUUAAUUUUAUGAAUUUAAUUAGUUUUUCAGUAAUGCUGUUUCUUGUUUGGUUGUGUAUAUCUUUUGUAAAUUUUCAAUGUUCAACUUACACAUUCUGCUCUUUGUUUGGACAUAUAAUCCUGUAGCAGAAACACUACCUGGAGUAUGCAUGGCAGACCCAAAAAAUUGGUGAUACCAAAGAAUUUCAUCCGUUGGCAAAUGUGACCACAAAUACUCUCUUGGCAUUUCAUUUACUGGUCGAGGAUUUCUUAAAAUUGUGAAACUUUGCAAUGUCGAAAUAUGAUACUAUUUUAUUGCCAAUGAGUUCCAUCUGACAGUAUACAAAUUGCUAGAUAUGCCAUAUUGAAGUAUCAAAAGUCCAGAUAGCCCUGGGUCAGUUAUUACAGAAGUCAUUAGCUUGUAAUGGGAUUGCAUAGCAAGCACUUUUUGCUAGGAUCAUUGGAGAGGUGCUUGUAAACCCAAAGCAGUAGCAUGGUAUACUGAAAAAUUCAUAGGACUUAUCACUUAGAACGAUGGAAUGCUAUUUCUGUACCAUCUGAUUAACCUUGCUGGCAAUAGAUGCUCCGAUUUCCUACUUGACUGCUGGUCAGCUCAUUGCAGAUCAAAAUUCAACAUGUUUGGAGUUUUAAUUUUUAGCAGAUUGGACAUGGGUAUAAAGUUUUUUGAGGGUUGUAUCACCACAGCAUUAAUUCUUUUAUCUGUUGCAGUUUCUGUUCACAAUUCCCAGCUUCUGCCUACUUGGUUUUUAGUCAUCAUGGGAAGUUAGAGUUGAUGACCUUGUACUUGUAAUUCAGCUUUAUAACUUUAUUUGAAGUAAUGUGGAGAAAAACCUUCACAAAUGUGAUGGUCCUGGGCCUCUGCACUUCUGUUCAUCAACUUUCUCUUCUUCAAUUUCAAACUUAAUAUGACAAAUAGAUCUAGUGUCUUGAUGUACACAAGGGCCUUUCUAAUCCAAAACUUUUGUCUGACAUUACUGAAUUGUUAGAAGUUAGCUACCCAUCUCUGUUUUAGACAGAUUGUUAAAGACAAUUAAGAGAUUUUUUGUUGUAAUGCUUCUCAAUUAUCCUCCUUUUUUUCCUUUAUUGACAUUUUUUAAAAUUACUUUGUUGGUAUACCUUAAUUUGUUUAUUCCCCGUUUAAUCAGUUAGGUAGUUAUUAUUAUUAUUAUUUCUAUAGGGGCCUCCAAUCCAUCGUUUUGAUGCUUUAAAGCAUUUGGCACCUGAUGCAUCUGUCGAGGAUAUCUUGGCAGUCCUCAGCCAACACGCUCAAUUAGUUCAAGGCUUGUGGAUUCCCAAAAGUUCACUGCUGUAUGGAAAAGAUCAAGGAAUUGAUGCUUUAGCGAGGGAUUAUGUUCUUCUUCUGUUUAGCAGGACUCCUAUUAUUAACAAUUCACAACUACCACAACAACAGAAACUCAAUAGAGCUAUGAGAGAUGUACUUAACACAGUAGCUUUUGAGAGAGCUUCUCUUAAUGAUUGGAAGUUCAAAGAGCCUCCUGACAUGACAUUCAUAAAACUUAACCCUAAGAUUGUCAGAGAACAGGAACAAACUUGGGAACGCUUGGAGAAACUGAUAACUGAAAAGAUCUUUGUAGAUAAAAACAGGCCUGCUACUAAAAACUCUUCAAGGCCUCUCACCACAAAUAACCCUGCAACAUCAAAGAGUUUAAGUAAGCAUGCAUCAAAUUCUUUAAAUGCAGGAGUGCCAAGGAGACCAAUGUCAGAAGAAACUCGCGAGGCUUUACCAAAGGCCCUUCAGAAACUUUUUCAAAGUCACAAGGUUUGCAGGUGAUUUUUUUUUCCUGCCUUUGGUUAGAUAUUGCUAGUAUUGUUAGCAUUCUUAACUUCAGGUUAUUAUGUACGGUUCAUGCCAACCACUUCUUCUUCUUUUCUUAUUUAACGAAAAAUGGUAGAAGGGAGUAUCUACACAAAACAAGGGCAAGCAUCAGUACUACAAACUGCUAAAGCAGUGGUGUGACAAAAACCAACCUACAAAACUAACAACUGUUUACACAACAGCAUUACAUUAAAAAUAUCUUCAGGCAAUAAUUUUUGCUCAAAAGUACUAGAAGGCAGGGUUCAUCCAAGGGCCAGGGACCUAUCAUCCUAAGUGCUUCGAAUAACUUUCUAAGAAGCACACACACCUCUUACAUUUGUUAACUGUAUCAACACAGAGUUCAGGGAUGCACACAGUAAAUGUGUUGUAGCUGGUUUUGACCCAAGUAACAAUUGAUUUGCUAGUUUAGUCCCAGUCUGUGGGAUGUAGAACCAUCUACCAUGUAUUUGUGAUAGCUAUAGAAAUGAGAUCUAGUUUCUCGACAGAAGUAUGUGUGUUGCAUGGAUGAGCAAGUUUAUUGUUAGUCCCUUUUUCAUGAAGUCUCCUAUCUGCAACUCAGCCACUAAUCAAGACAUUAACUGUUUAAUUGGAUGGUUUUUAUUUUUCUUCCCUGCUAGCAACUUAAGAAAUAUGUAUUGACAUUGACAGCUUCCAACAAAUUUGCCAGCGUCUAAGGGAAAUGGCAGUUUCUGAGUCUUCCCGUCCAAAGGGAUUUGCUAGAGAAGCAAUAGCUGCAGCACAUGGUGUUGAAGCUCCUCCAGAGGAGCUUCAGGCAAUCAUUAGUCAAGUCGCAAUUAACAUUCAUGGUGUUUAUGUUUUGAAAUCAUCCCCAGUUCACCCCGAACAUGAUGAAUUCAGGUUAUUGCUAGAUCUCCAGCCCCUACACUUUUCCUAUUUUUAUUAUUUACUCAGUGCAUAGUCAAGAUUAGUUUUCAUUUGCAGGAAAGUUGUCAUUGAUCUUUUCAUUGCUGAAGGACCAAACGCAAAGCUUAAGAAGGCCUCAAUGAUAGAAGCUGCUAAAUUGCAGCUUAAAAGGGAUAUUAACAGCCUGGAAUAUCAAAAGGUCAAGCGUCAGAGCUUGAGUGCUUUAUUUGUCUGUUUGCUAUCCUUUUGGUUUGCCCAGAGCAAAAUUAUUAGAUGCUAAUGGUCACGUCCAUAAACCAACUUCAGUUUUUGCAUGAGAUAGAUGCUUUUUCAAAUGACAAAGUGGGAGCUGCAUAAUGAAGAAUAAGUAGCAUGUGACAUAUCUUAAAAUUGAGUAGUAGUGCUUUGCUCUCUUUAUUGGCUUAAGUGAUGAUGUAAUAAGUAGAUUAUACUUUGAAGUAGGUAGGAACUCUACUGAAUAUGGGAGUGUAGGUGCUGUCUGAAACUCUGGAACUGAUAGAGCAAAACAAGAAAGCUAUGCAUUUGAAAUACUAUUAAUAAAUUGAGGUGCACAGUCUGGUCAUCUUGCAAGUCUGUCCUUGCUUGUUGUAGUGGAGCAUUGACAGUCUCAUGGGUCACUCUUGAACAGAUUUUACCUUACGCUUUUGUCGAAUCUGCAGUUUAGCUAAUCUUUUACCCUAUUGUUUUCAGGUUGUACAGGAACUAUGUGUAUCUCAAGGUUCGGCUUGGGUCUUGAAAAGUGGUGAUGGAAACCCGAAAUGAUGCUUCCCCCAUUCAGAAUGUUUAAGGUACUAAAGUUAAUUAACACCAGAAGUCAUAUGAUUGAUUGUGGAAAAAAUUUAUGAUAACUGCUGCACAUUGGUUUGUCUGAGCACAUGUUAUGAAAUGGUGACACACCUAGAGAAUUACUUGUCUGAUAGAUUGAUUUGUAAAAAUGCCUGGAACCUUUGUUGCUUCUAUGAAUCUUGUUAUACUUCCACCGAUGAUGUCAAUGGAGAAUCACUUUUGACGAUAUAGCUGCAUGGAACCUAAGAACACUUUUGUUGGUGGGAGUACUUUCUGAGUUUUUGGAAGUUACAUCUGAUGGUAGGGGUGGAGUUUUUUCUGUGUUGUUGUACCAUACAAAAACUAAUUGGUUAAAUUAUAAUUCCCAUGAAGUGGUUGUCAUUGCAGUAAAUGAUACUAUAGGGGCUACUUCUUUAGCUGCUGAAUGAGGUGGUUGUGUGGCACUGCUCAUCCCAUGCACGCUGGAAAUAUGAUUUCCAUUUUUCAAUUUUCUCUCUAGACAUGAAACUGACCGUUCAUGAUGUAGCUUUAGAAAAAAAUUUUGGCGUUAUUUACUGUAGCACCUUUUUGGUACAAUGGAUGCAAGAUAAAAUGGUAGUUUGAAAACGUGUUUUGUGAAUAAUAAGAAACACGUAGUUUGAAAAUUGUACCUUUUUGGUACAAUGUAUGCAAGAUAAAAUGGUAGUUUGAAAACGUGUUUUCUAAAUAAUUCAAUCCAAACGAACUCAAAUGGCUUCCCUUUUCAGGUACUCGAGGUUGAUUCAGUGUGAUAGAUUGCUCAAAAAUGUCAUCUGAGGGUGAUUCUGUUUGAUAGGUUGCUCAGAAAGGGUAUCUGCUUAGGUCAACGGAUGAGGUGAUUAUCGCACUUCUUGUUUGGUAGGCAUAAUUUGUGCAAAUUACGUUACACUUGAGGUGAUGACACUUGACAGUUUACUUAGUUCUUAAAUCUGGAUCUUAUUAUUGAAAAAAUUUGUAAACAAUCAGCUUAUUUCAGUGCCUAUUUGCUUAUUUCAGUGAUGAUGUUCAAGCUCUUUACAUGAUUGUUAAUGUCAACAGUUUGUGCGGGCUUUUUUGUGCAGGAACACUAUCCCUGGUAAUUGGUUCGUUUUCUGGAAACUUAUAAGCUGACUCAGGUGGGUUAAUGGGGACAUUGUGGUCAGUCCACUGUAGAUACUUGAUUCCCACCAGAAUUUAGAUUUAGUAGAUUUUUCAAAUGAAACAUACAUUAUGCAACAAAUGAUUACAGAAGUAGUUAAGUGUAUCCUAUAGAAAAGAGGUAUAAUGUUCCACAGAGAGCAAACAAAGACCGGGAACCGAUUGCGUUGCCUGUGAGGUUGCAUUACUUCGUUGUGGAACACAUUUGUCUGUACCAUGUACAUCGAGGAUCAAUUUUUUUUUUUUUCUGUAAAAACAUAUUUUUAACUUCUUCGAAAGCCUUUGUGGCGUUACUGGCAUGAACUCCUCUUUGUUGUGCCACUGCAUGAUCGUCCUUACAUAUAUAUAUAUAUAUAUAUUGGUAAAAGUGAUCGUCUUUAAAUGCUGCUCCUAUUGUACAACUUUUGUGCCGCGGUCAUAAGAAUCUGGAACUCUUAACUGCGCUGCAAUUAGCGUUGUAGAUCCCUGCAUAUGACGUUCGAGCCUCCAAGGCCACGUCUCGGGCUUUUAUUUCACCAGGAUUGAGAUUCAUUGUAAAUCUCUGUCACGAGUCCAAGACAAAAAUGAUUUUUGCACCAAUAAUAAAUCUUGACAUUGUGAUCUAACCUUAUUUUAAUCUAAUCUUAGAUUGGAGCACAAUGUAAGUGGUAAUUAGGGCCGAAAGAAAAAUCAAGCUGCUCGAGUUGAAAAACAAUCGAGUUCCUUGGUACGUAAAUUGAGUUUGGUUCAAUAAAGGUUUAUUUGAAUUUGAUUGGCUAAUUAACUAAAUCAACUUGGAAUAGCAUAUUAUAUUUGAUAAAUUUUCAAGUUCGACUUACAUGUAAAACAUUCAAAUUUUCAAAUUCAGUUUAAACUCGGUUUGAUACAAGUUUAACUUGAUAAAAUCUCGUUUGAACUUGAUUUAAAAAGUAAACAAUCCAAAGUUGAACAUAAUUUAAAAUUUGCUAAAAUAAUCAAAUAUAUUUGAAAGCAAGGAUGUUUGCCUUGUUUAGACUCAUUUACAUUCUUAAAGGAUAUAAAAAAAAAAAAAUUGUUUUCAAGAAUAGUAAUACUCCACCAAAUCUCUUAAUUUGCCCCUCAACCGUUUACAUCUAGACUAGAUUGAUAUAGCCCUUGUGGUUAUACGGACUUUUAGCAGGAAAUGUCAUUGCAAUUACAGCUAAAAAGUUCUCCUAUUUGAAGGUAAAUAAUUCUUCUCAUACUAAUCCAGUCAAUUGAAAAGAAAAAAAAAUAUCUGUCAACUGAAGCAAGGAAAAUAGAACGCAAGUUUGAGCUUCAGGGAUUCAAUUAUGUUUUGCUGUUUACUGUUUAUUCAAAUAGAUGCUACGUGAUAAAUUUGUAGUUUUCCCUCAAAAUCUUCUAUUUAGUUCUUACAAGUUCCUAAUUCUGGCCAGUUUCAGUCAAUUUGUUAGAAUUCAGUUGGAAGCAUUUGGUUUGUCAAAAAGUGUUUUUUUUUUUUUUUCAGAGCAAGAAAAAAUUAAUGUUAUAUAUUGGAUUCAAUGCUACAAUUCCCAUCAACAGUAUAUCAUUGUCGGUGAUUCUAUGAAUAUAAUCUACAAACAUUUUGAAAUUAUGAAAAAUACAUUUCUAAAUUAUAAUCAUGAAGUCCAAAUCCAAUUCAAACUCGAGUUGAACUCAAAAAAAAAUUUUCCCCAAUAAACCGGCUCGCGUGUUAUAUGUAUGCCAAUAUAAACUCUAAACCUUUUCCUUUUGAUAUCUUUUACUUACAAAAUAAGGGUUUUUUUUAUUGAGUAUAAAAUAAGAUGUGUGUACAGAUUUUGUCAAAAAAUAUGUGUAUAUAUAUAUAUUUAUAUGUAUAUGUAUAUGAGUAUACAUAUGUAUUAGGCUCCCAAGUCUUUUUCAGGUCUACAGUUGGAUAUAUAUAUAUAUAUAUAUAUAGGCUGGAUAUAUGUGUGUGUAUAUAUAAAUUGGCUGGACUAUAUAAAUGCUUGCAAGCCCUAGGAGCGAACCCAUCUCAAGUGUUCCCAAAAUAGAGAAAAGGCAGCCGAGAAGGGAGAGAACAAAUAUUCAAGUGCUAUUCUUUUACUGGAGAACUAACAGAUAAGAUGCCGGAUUACGAAGGCAACGGUGGAGAUGAUCUAGAGAACUACGGUGGCUCUUCUCCUCAACCCCGUAUUAACAGUCACGGAGGUGCCGAUGAUUUUAGCGACUCCAGAUCUCAAGUACUUUCGAAUUCUUAUGCAAAUUGAUCUUUUUCUUUUUGUUUCUGAUUUGUAUAUACGAAGGCAUAGAAUCGAGCGAACUGCUUGUGUUUAUCGUAAUUGUUUUUAUUAUAUGUUUUUUAAUUGCAGUUGUUCACUUGAAAUUGCGACUAGUUAUGUAUUUAAUUCAGCAAUUGGCUGCCCUGAGAAUCGUUUUUGUUGUGAUUAAUCCAAUUUUUUGCAGAAAUAUGGGUUUGCUGAUGUCUUUUUGAAUGCAUGUUGUAUUAUAUACUUAUUACUCAAAUUAACUGGGGGUUUUACGUUUUUGAUGUUUCAGUUGAGGAAUUAUUAAAAAAAAAUUCAUCAUAGACAAUUGUAUUGAGAGGUUUACUCGAUGGUGCGGGUUAUUUAAUUGGCAACAUUUUUCUCUAUCUGGAAAUAAGUAUUUCCUCUGUUCACCUCAUUUAAUGGCUUUACUGCCUUUUGUUUUGCUAAUGUGCUGAUGCAUUUCUUAUAUCUCUAGCAGCAUUCUCGUGAUGGUGAUAAUAGAGAAAGAGGGUCUUCUAGAAGCAGGGACAGGGAUAGGGAGAGGGAGAGGGGGAGAGACAGGGAUAGGGACAGGGACCGUGAAGGUGAACGAAGCAGAGAUAAGGACAGGGACAGGGAUAGGGACAGGGAACGUGAUAGGGAUAAGGAUCGGGAUCGUCACCAUCGGGACCGAGAUCGCCACCGGGAUCGAAGUGAGAGAAGAGAGAGGGAGGAGAGGACUCGAGACAGAGAUGAUGAUGGUGAUUACCAUCGGAGUCGGGAGUAUGAUAGGUGAGAAAAGUCAUUUGCUGUUGAAAUUAUUAUAUGUAGAUCUUAAUUCUGUACAAUUCUGUCUUGAAUAUACUUGUUUGCUAACUUUUUAAACUGAGGAAGUUCUUUAAACUCACUCAUCAUUUGUUUGUUCAAGACGAAGAGAUUAUGACAGAGAUAGAGAAGAGAGGCAGAGGCAUAGGUCCAGAUCUCGAGAGGGGAGGGCAGAACACCGAUCAAGGUCACGGUCUCGAUCACGCUCCAAAAGGUAGGUUCCAGGGGAUUUCUUCUUGUUUGUAAUAUGUCCUUUUAUGGAGAGCCUAUAAAUUUUAUAAUAUGUCUGUUGGUCUGUAAUGAAGAUUUUUGUUGUGGAAACUAAAUCACCAUAUUUAAUCACUCUAUAGAUAUAAGAUCUGAGAUAAUGAGAGUAAAUGACACAAGGAACAGAUAACAUUUGUUAUAAGUGUGGUGCUAUCCUUUUGCUCUUUGCUGUCAGAGAAUAGUGUUGUAGUUGGACUUUGAAGCUGUGAAGUGAAAUUUUUAGGAUGGUGUUAUGUUUGUGUCCCAGAAACUGUUCAUUUAGUUAGCUGAUCCUUUUACAUAUACAUUUUGCUUUACGUGCAAUAAUUUGAUUCUCAUGGUUUUAAAUAGUUGCAGGGUUGGAAAGGAAUGUUGUGGCACAAAUUGGGUUGUAUUACAACCCUUUUUGUAGCUUAUUUAUUUCUAAUUUGACUGAAACUGUAAUAGAGUAUGUGCUGGAAAAUUCCCAAACUAGCUUGUGCAAUGGUUUGAUGAACCUCUUUUCUGCUAAUCCCUGACGGGAACUUAGCAAAGUCUAUAAGGGUAAUUUUUUUUUUGGGUUAAUCUGAUUAGUGUAUAGAUUGAUGUUAACCGCUUUGUCCUGUUUCUUUUUCUGUUUCUUUGGUAUUAAUGAAGCAUCUUUACAGUAAAAGGAUCAGUGGCUUUGACAUGGCACCUCCAACUAAUCCCUUGAUGCCUGGUGCUACCUCUCUCCCAGGUAUAUGUUCUGUGGGUUAGUUUUCUAUUUAAUUUUGAUAACUUUUUUUUCUCUGUCUUUGCCAUAGUGUGGAAAAGUUCGUACAAAAUUCAUGCUUUCAUUUUGGUAAGCGUCCCUUGUUCUUUAAUCUGUAACUGCAUUGGUAUAAUGCUUGGGCCCUAGUUCCGCUGUUCAGUAUUUAUUUUUCUUAUUGCUUAUACUUGGUGAAAAUUUUCUGAGACUGAGAGGAUUUUUGGUUUUUUGUUGUGUUUGGUGUUUGUUUGUUUGUUUUGUAUGUCUUGGUCUUAAUAUCUAAGAAGGCAAUAUUGGGCUACUAGCCCCACUGUGCUGACACUGGGCGUGAGCCGACUUCUGUAGCUUUUAUUACAAGGAAGAAACAAUCAGGUCUUCUUCAUCUUCAACCAGGAUAUGCAUGUUUGGUAGUUUCAUAGAUAUUUUACCCAGAACAUGAAUAUUUGUAUCCAUUUUAGUUAUUAUUUCAAUUAUAGGAAGAAGAAUUUGAUUUAACUUAAUUAGGAGUAUAGUUAAGAUCAUUUGCUGGAUAUACAAACUUAAAAUUCUUAGGAAGAUGGCUUUCUGUUUUAUUUUCUGAGAUGUAAUUCUUUUAGCCUUUACAGGUCAGGUAACUGGUACUGCUCCUGCUGUUCCUGGAGUCUUUCCCAACAUGUUUUCAUUGCCAACUGGACAGGUACUUAUCUGCCUUCUAUAUGUAAUGUUUUUAAUGCAGUUUACCAUUUUUUUUACCUUGAUUUUAUUUUUGUACUCCUGGCAGCUUGGAGCUCUACCUGUUAUGCCAGUUCAGGCUAUGACUCAACAGGUUGGUAUAUGUUCUUGAAACCUUCCCCCCUUCCCCACCCCCGGUUUUUCUCUCUCCUACUUUGCUUUCUACUUAUCAAGUUUUAUCUUGGUUCUCUGCUUUUCUAUGUUGUCUGAAUGUUUUUUUAUUAGGCCACUAGACAUGCUCGACGAGUGUAUGUUGGUGGACUUCCUCCAACAGCUAAUGAACAGGUAGUACUCCCAUUCCUCGACUUAAUUUGGAACAGUUCGUUUUCAGAAGUUUAUUUGACCUGUUGAAUGUGUCACAUAUUCUACACUUACUGAUGAUGAUCAUUUUUUGAAUGUUUACUUUUGAAUUAUUCAGUCUGUUGCGACAUUCUUCAGUCAUGUGAUGUCGGCAAUUGGAGGAAACACUGCUGGUCCAGGUUAGUUUAUGUAUCUUGCCUUUCUUAUCAGAGUUCAUGGCUUGUAAGUUUCAGAAUUUAAGAGUAUUCCUGGUCUAACUUUCAGGGGAUGCUGUUGUAAAUGUUUAUAUUAACCAUGAGAAGAAAUUUGCUUUUGUGGAGAUGAGGUCAGUUGAAGAGGCUAGUAAUGCCAUGGCAUUGGAUGGCAUUAUUUUUGAGGUAAGUAAACAUUUUAAAUCUUUUCCAAAAGUUUCCUUUCCAUCAUUUUAUCUAUUUGGUUUCCCAUUAUUCUAAAUCUUUGAGCAGAUAGUACUUUACUUGCAAUUUGUGCAUAUAUUUCUACAAGUCUUUACUCGUUUGUACUUGAAUAAACCUCCCAGGGAGCACCGGUUAAGGUGAGAAGGCCCAGUGACUACAAUCCCUCAUUAGCUGCUACUCUUGGUCCUAGCCAGCCCAAUCCAAACCUGAACCUUGCUGCUGUUGGACUGACCCCUGGUUCUGCUGGUGGGCUUGAGGGCCCUGACCGUAUUUUCGUGGGUGGUCUUCCCUAUUAUUUCACGGAAGGGCAGAUCAGAGAGCUGCUAGAGUCUUUUGGGCCCCUUCGUGGUUUUGAUCUGGUGAAAGACAGAGAGACUGGAAAUUCCAAGGGCUAUGCAUUUUGUGUUUACCAGGAUUUAUCAGUGACUGAUAUUGCUUGUGCAGCACUUAAUGGGAUCAAGAUGGGUGAUAAAACCCUCACUGUUAGGCGUGCAAACCAGGGAGUUACACAACCUAAACCUGAGCAAGAAAGUGUUUUAUUGCAUGCACAGCAACAGAUAGCUUUACAGGUAAAACUUUUUGUUUGCUUUCUUAUUCAUGAGUGACUGUUUAAAAUCAUCUUAAUAGUUGAAAGACUUGAAAGUCUUUCUUUUUGAGGAACACAAUUGGGAUUAUACUUCUUAUGGCUGAUUACAAGUGUGCAUCGGGCACACACUUGCAGAAACUCAUGCUACAACCUGGGACACUGGCCACAAAGGUUUUAUGCCUGACACAAGUGGUCAGUGCAGACGAGCUAAGAGAUGAUGAGGACUAUGCAGAUAUAUUGGAAGACAUGAGAUUGGAAUGUGGGAAAUUUGGUAUGUGCCUGAACCUUAAGCUCAAUUGCUUUUUUCUUCUACAUCAUUUUUUUUGGGAAGGGGGGUUGGUGCUGUUCUUGGGUAUAGAUACUUUUUGUGUUAUACCUCUGUUUUGCAGUCCUUUUCUAGUACUACAUUCUGCUUAUCUGAAACGUUGAUAUGCUGAGAGGGGAUUUUAUUCUCUAUCCCUUGCAUUGGAAUUUUUGGUUUGCCCCUUUCUCGUUUAUAGACUUGAUACUAAUUUUCUUUUUUAAAUUUACUUUCGCAGGUACUUUGGUGAACCUGGUUAUCCCACGGCCAAGUCCCACUGGUGAUCCAACACCAGGUGUUGGAAAGGUUAGUUGGAGCUGCAUGCAUCUCUUACAUACAAUUGUGGAUUCAUGUUAGAUCGAGUCAAUUUGAAAUUGGGCUCUUUUUUUCCCCCUUUUCAGUCGUAAUGAAACAUUCCCUUUUUGUGGUAGGUGUUUUUGGAGUAUGCUGAUGUCGAGAGUGCCAACAAAGCUCGUCAAGGAUUGCAUGGAAGAAGAUUUGGUGGGAAUCAAGUAGUUGCUGUGUUUUAUCCAGAGAAUAGGUUCUCUCAAGGUGAUUAUGAUGGUUAAGCGGUGGCCGCUACUGGUUUUGAAGUUACCUUAGAGAUGCUUGAGUACCGUUAUAGGCUUGAUGCGUGCUAUCCCAUAACUCGUACAAAAUUAGGAAGUGAUACAGAUAUAUUAUUUUGGUUUAAGCUUAGUACUCAGAUUUAUCUCUUGGAUUUUAGGGUUGCAUUUGUACUUGGAUUUUUGGAAUGAUUAUCGAACUUCGCUUUUGAGUCUUGAGUGUCACCUUGAGUCUUCGAUUUGGAAUGUCGAGUUAGGUUUAAAUUUUAAUUAUGGGUUUCUGCGACAGUAACUGAAAUCACACAAGAUUAGGUUCUUCCAAACGGCCAAUGUCGGUCGCUUUAUUGGUAGGUUGCCUGCGGAGAAACGUUUUUGGUUAUAGAACAGAUAGCUGGGAUAGAACGAUUGAAAUAACGAUUUCAAGAUAUUGAUCCGAGAUGCAUCUUAUCUUAAUCUAAAUUGGGAUUUGGCUGGUUAUUGAGACUAGUGGAAAAUUAUGUUGAGAUGCCGAUUGAAAAGUCGUAAUGUUUAAUUGGAAAGGCAACCUGGGAUUGAGUUCUGAAUAGCUUGAAAAGGAACAAGACGUUACAUUCAAAACCCCCUUAAAGUUUAAGAAAUUGCACUUAUCUCCCCUAGUGUUGUAAAAUUAGUCCAAGCAAUAACUCUCACAUAUUGCUUUUUUUUUUUUUUUUGAAGGACCCUCACAUAUUGCUUUACACCAUUAAGCACAAAAAAAAUUUUUUUUUUAAUAAAACAAUAUAAUGAUACAGAUAAGCAACGGCAAGUUAUUAUUGUUUUCUCUGUCCAAAACUCAUGUCCUUCUAUAGAAUUAAACCUUCAUGCACAGCACAACCAGCAACUCUUUUGCUUAAUUCCUGGACUGACCCAUGCUGCUAGCCUCCUCUGUUGCCUUCAUCGCCCAAUUACCCUAAAACUUUCCUUAAAUUUUCCUUAAAACUUUCCCUUUAUUUACGAAGCCAUGCCUUCCCAAAAUCAUUACUAGUUACGAAUCCUCAAAAGAUCCAUAACAAAACACCUAAAACCCUAGAAGAUGUCUUCCCGUCUCGCCCUCCACCACGGCCGCCACCUUUCAACUUCCGCCGCCGCCGCUGCCACCGCAGCCGUCGAAGCAGCAGGGGCUUCUACUGCCACCUCCACAAAGCCGUCUACCAUCAGCACUUCCAGAGCCAAAUCACAACUCAGAUACGUCUACGACCCCGACAAAGCCCUCGAAAUCUACUCUUCAGUCUCCCCUAACUAUACCUCUCCGCUCUCCUCUCGCUACACCCAAGAGUACACCGUCCGCCGCCUCGCCAAAUCCCACAGAUUCUCUGACAUCGAAAACUUCCUCGAAUCUCACAAAAAUGACCCCAAAAUCACUCAAGAACCAUUCCUUUCUUCCCUCAUUCGAUCCUAUGGUCUUGCUGGUAUGUUUGAUCAUGCCCUCAAAACUUUUAAUGAAAUGGAUGAUCUGGGUACCCCCAGGUCAACUGUUUCCUUCAAUGCUCUCCUUUCUGCUUGCAAUUCGUCCAAAAAUUUUGGACGAGCCCCUGAGCUGUUCGAUGAAGUGCCUCAAAGAUAUGGGCUUUCGCCGGAUAAGUUUUCAUAUGGGAAUCUGAUCAAGGCUUAUUGUGAAAUGGGAUCGCCCGAAUCAGCGCUGGAAAGGCUGAAGGAAAUGGAGGAGAAGGGCAUUGAGAUUACAGCUGUUACUUUUACUACCAUUAUGCACUCGUUCUAUAAGAAAGGGAAGAAUGAAGAGGCGGAGAGAGUGUGGAGUGAGAUGGUGAAGAGAGGGUGUCCAAUUGACGUCGGGGCAUAUAACGUAAGGAUUAUGCAUAUUCAUGGAGAGGAUCCUGAUAGUGUGAAGGGGCUAAUUGAGGAAAUCAGUAGUGCAGGGUUGAAGCCGGAUACUAUUAGUUAUAAUUAUUUGAUGACUAGUUAUUGCAGGAGUGGGAUGAUGGAUGAGGCCUUCAAGGUUUAUGAGGAUUUAGAGGGGAAUGGGUGCAAACCAAAUGCCGCAACUUUUAGGACGUUGAUAUUCUAUUUGUGUAAGAGGCAGAGGUUUGAGACUGGGUACAAGGUGUUCAAAGAGAGUGUGGCGGUGCAUAAGAUUCCAGACUUUAAUACCUUGAAGCAUUUGUUAGAAGGAUUGGUGAAGAGGUCAAAGUUCAAGGAAGCGAAAGGGAUGAUUAGGACAGUAAAGAAGAAGUUCCCUCCUAAUGUUGUGAAGGCAUGGGAAAGGCUUCAGAAGGAACUUGGUUUGGUUAGCGCCGAAGCUAAUGAGGUUGAUUUGGAAGAGACAUAAAAGGAGGAGGAGAGUGUUUCUGGAAAAUUUGGUUCCCAUAGGCUCAAAAAGAAUUCCACUUGCAUCUUGCCAAGUGUGUGGCGAGGUUGAAUUUCAGUUGUCCUGAAGCUGGAAGUCAGCAUGUCUUGCUGCUUAAUUGCAAACUUGAUUCUGAAAGCUGACUAGGAAAAGUCCCUUGUGGAGUUUUGAUAGACCUCUUAUAGAUGUCCAAAUUAAAUGCUACUUCACUUCUUAAGUUGGUUUAUCUUCAUUGGCACGAAUUUGUUGUCUUUCGAUAUUUGUUUCCCUGUUUUUGAAGUGCUUACUGACUGCCUAACUAGAUGUCCAUAUGGAACGUGGCCCCUAAAUGGUUUCUUGCUACUUCCGAACUGAAUUGAUGUAGUAGUCAUGGUUAAUUUUUGGUAGUCUUGUUUAACUAAAUAUAUAGUUACUAAAGAUACUCAAUCAGGUGGUAACCUAGACCGAAAUGAAAAUUUGUUGCUGAAUGCAUCUGCUGCAUUUUUUGAAGUUCAUAUGCAUUUCAUCUCAAGGAUUUUCGAGGUUAAACUUUAAAGUGCGCUUGAUGGUGUUGUCUAUACUAUUGCAUUCUGCUGCAUUGAGCAACAGAUGAACGAUAAACUGGAUCUAUAGUCUCUGUACUGCUGUAGUACUUGAGAUUAGUGUCUGAUAAUUUCUCUUCAUCUUAACGCUUGCAGCUAUCUAUUUCCCUUGGUCACCUCUAUUCAUCCAAAAAAAAUGCUGAUUGAGGAUGCUUGGCACGCACCGUUACGUCUUGACGUGCUUGUCUGUGCUCUCUGUUUGCUUCAAAAUUACUCUUAUUAGCAUAUUUUACCAUCCUUUGAAGAUAUCAGCUGUUGUCUGGAACCUGUACCUAUAUGUAUCUGGAGUGUCCCCGGUGAUGAUAGGUUAUGACGUCCUUGCUUAUUUUAUCCUUGUGAAGAUCACUGAUGAGCCUAACUUCAAGCGUUGGAAGUAUUUUUAGCUACUAGGGCUUUUGUUUGGUUGGUAAAAAUGAGGGACAUGGCAGUACCUUUGGACCGUGGAAAAUGGUGGCUUGUUGGUAGGCAUUAGACAAGCUAGCCACAUCUGUGAAAUUGCUGAAUAGCUAAUGACUAGCAAAGAGCUUAUCCAGUAAAUGUCUCCUAAUUUGGGAAAAAAAAUUUUACGUCACAUCUUUUGUUUUGCCACAAUAAAGGAAAACGAAAAACCGAAAAAAAAGAGGAAGAAGAAGAUGCUCGACUGAAGAAUCAGAGCAGAAACGGGCGCUUGUUGAAGAGGAUAGCCUCGAGAGGCCGAUGGAAUUGAAACAUGAUAUUAUAUACACAAAUCAUGUACAUGUAUAAAAUAAAAAUUAUUCAACAUUUUGAGACAUUGAGACACAACAUAAGCAACACAGUCUGACUGAGGUAAAAUGAAUUUUGCGCCUAUAAAUAGAAGUAAGGGCCCACUGGAAGCACCAAAAAAAAAAAAUUUUUUUUUAAACUUAAUUUAUUUUUUUUUCCUGAGUAAUAUAUGUAUAUAUUGAUGUACAGGUAUGUGUAGAGUGUACUUUAGUAUUUUGGGUUAGGGAAAAUAGACAAUUUCAUCUCUGAACUUUUUUAUUAGUGUUGAUUUAGUCCCUAACUUUUAUUCCUAGUCAAUUUGAUAUGUGAACUUAUUUUGCAUUUCCAGUUAAUGACUCAUGUGGCGGCUUCACCACCUAAAACUAAUUUGGCUUUUAAUUGAUCAAUUAAAGAAGGGUGUUUUAGAAACAUCACUUACGAGGUUAUAAAAAAUUAAGUAAAUUGUGUAAAAAAUCACAAUAUCAAACUUUAAAAAAGUUUUAUCUAAUGAUUUUUUACACGAUUUAAAAGUUUUAUUUGGUGAUUUUGUUAUACCAUUUACUUGUUUUAUUACAUUCUCGUGAUAAUACUCCUGUUUAAUUAGUCAAUUAGGAGUCAAAUCAAUUUGAGGUAGUGGUGCCACCGCGAAGGCACUUAAUUAGAACUGCAAGAUAAGUUCAAAUAUCAAAUUAGUCAGAAAUAAAAGUCAAGGACUAAAUCAACACUAAUAAAAAAUUUAGGGACGAAAUUGGGCAUUUUUCCUUUGGUUAAGCAGUCCUCCUACACUUUAUGUAUCAAUCAAAAGAGUCGAAGCCUGUAGGCGGUGGUUAGUUAUACAAAUGCAGGGUGUUAUCAUUCAACGGAAACGGACUGUCCAGUUUACCACAACAAUAGUAUCAAACUGAACGAAGCUAGAGCGUAUCAGAGGCGGCACAGAGGUUAAAGGCGAUGACAACUCGAAUUGCUCCUGGUGUCGGAGCUAACCUCCUCGGCCAACACUCCGCCGAGCGCAACCAAGACGCAACUGCCUAUGUCGGCAACCUUGACCCUCAAGUACUCUCUUCCCCCUCCCCCCCCCCCCCCCAAACCUCUCUCCCUGGCUCAUCUAUUCUCUUCAGCUUCUAAGCACAAACUUCACUUCUUUAUUUCGGUUUCUCUGAACCCCGUAUCCCUCUUUUCGUUUUCUUCUGUCCUUUGCUUUCCUGUCUUUGUUUAGUUCUCAGAGGAUUCUUAUUAGUUGUUAGCAACAUCGUUUAGGUUUUUAAACUGUCCUCUGGGUUUAAUUGUUCUUUUGUAAGUUAGGGUUUUGUGUUAAUUAGCUGGCAAGGCAAAGACAAAUGCCUUCGUUGAUUUUUUUUUUUUUUUUUUGAAAAUGUGGAUAAACAAAUUUCUCAGCUUUCAAGUUGGUGGGUGUUCAGAAACGUCACACUUGUGUCAUUUGAUGGAUGUAUGCUAAUGAUAUGUCGUGGUCCUGAUCAAGUUUAAUGAGUUCAGAGGGUGCUAAUUGCUUCAUCUCUGGCCUUUUUGUUCAUUACAAGAAUCUAGAUAUCUCGUCAGGCUAAGUUUGCUUCUCUAUCCAAUCCAAUCACGCGAUUUUUGUGGAGCACCAAACACUGCCUUGAGAACGAACACGGGUUCAGUAUUCCUUGCUGCAAUUUGUUAUAUAGGGAAUCAUAUGAGAAGCAUGCUCCACUUUUUUGAUGGAUUAGAUUAUUUGGUAUUGCGUAUAAUGACUGUGCUUGGAGCUUGCAAAUGGUAUGCCAAUGAAAUCGGAAGACAUGUUUGUUGUGCUACUUGCUCAAAUUAUGCUAAGUUUCUUGAUGGAUUUUGAGUCAUAAACCAGCAUGAUGUAUGGUAAAUGUUUGUGUUCUGCAUUGCCCAUUUGUUGUGUGAAUAUUGAACUGUUUGAUUGACAGUCAAUUUUUGCUUUCGAGGUUGUCUUGUCAGAUGCAUUUUCCAAAAUAGAUAGUCUAUUUUUAACAAUUCCGGAUUACAAGUCUCUCAUUUUCUGAGGAUUUAACAAGGCAUUUCUUGGUGUUUUGUGUAUCCCUUGGCUGUCCCAAUUGUUGCUUAGACACAGAGGUUGAUGGAGCUAAUACUCAAUUACAUCUUGUUCUUUUCUUUUUUCCAUCUUUUGUAGGUUUCAGAAGAAUUAUUAUGGGAAUUGUUUGUCCAAGCUGGGCCAGUUGGUUAGUUUUUGGUUUUCUUAUUACCUAUCAAUAUAUGCACUUGCACCCAUAUAUAUCCUUAUUGCUGCAACAAAUCUUGUUUUUCUGCAACUCGCAGUACAAAAGCCUAUGUUUUUCCAACUUAAUUUCAUUUCAAAAAUUUCAAGAUCUUCAAUAUAUUGCCGUUUGGUUUUGCAUUUGUUGCUCAGAAAAUUUUUGUUUAUUACAGUCAAUGUGUAUGUGCCCAAGGAUAGAGUGACAAAUUCACAUCAAGGCUAUGGCUUCGUAGAAUUCCGAAGUGAAGAAGAUGCUGACUAUGUGAGUAAUGGAUUAGUUGUUCACUUGGCUGUAGCAGACUUAUAUUCUGUGUGCUUACAUCUAUUUUUCACCUGCAUCUUCAAGCAUCAUUAUGGUUCCUUAAUUGCUCUCUUUUUGCCUUUGAUAUGGGUUGGCUAAUUAUUUCUGGUUCUUCAGUAUUACUAACCGUGUUUUGAAGUGAUUGCAAGUUCUUCAGUUCUGAUUCUGCUUGUUUUGAUCUCCCCCAAUACCUUUGCAGGCUAUAAAGGUUCUCAAUAUGAUUAAACUGUAUGGGAAACCAAUACGAGUUAAUAAGGUAUAAAUUCAAGCUUAAUAUUUUGUUUUGACAUUCUUAUUAGCUUAAGGCUAGAAAUUUUUUAACUUCAUGUUAAAUUCUUUAAUAUUUGAAGUUCUUGUAUUCUUUUGCCUGUGCAUUCUUAGGCAUCACAAGAUAAGAAGAGUGUGGAUGUCGGUGCAAAUCUUUUUAUCGGGAAUCUUGAUCCUGUAAGAAACUUGACCUUUUGAUUAAUUCUUAGGUAUAAUCUGCUUGCCUAAUAUCAGUAAAAUUUUAUUCUGUGUACAUGCACUUCAGCCUGCACACUUGCAUUAGGGUGAAUUCUUGCUGUAACGUCUUAUGGUAGUUCUGCAGAUCUUCCAGUGCUUUUGUACCGCCUGUAUACACUUGCAAUAACUUCCAUGUUUGUGCAGGAUGUUGAUGAGAAACUUCUCUAUGAUACUUUCAGUGCAUUUGGAGUCAUUGUUACCAAUCCAAAGGUAACGCCUUUACUCUUAUGCUUUGUAUGAGGUUUUACCCUAGGCAUAAGCAGCUAAUCUUUAAGAGGCUGACUUCAUUUUAUUGAUUUAGUUCAUUUCUUUGUAUGUCAUUGUUUGUCUUUGUUGGAACUUCCAAUGUUCAAGUUUUGGAAUAAUCAAAUAUUCGAAAUGUUUCUGUGAUGCGUAUUUAGAAAAUAUUGAUAUGAACAACAACAAAUAUGCACCUUAUAUUAUAAGUUGUCAAAGGAGAGAACUUUGGAUGGUAUGCUGAUUAUUUGAGGGAUUAAUAGCCUAUGGUUGUAAGAUUAUGAAAGUCUAACUGGAUCUGACAUUACUUGACAACCAUAUAUGAGUCAAAUAUAGCCAGAUGUACUUUGGGAGCCAAGUCAUCCAAAUAGCCAUGGAGGAGUUACAAAAGCUAGGAUACUCAUAUUUGUUCUAGUGGGACCAAUUCUUGCUUGUCACAAAGCUUCUUACUUUAAUUUACAACCAUCUCCUUUUUUUUUCUCUUUUACCUCCCUCUUGUCUGGGGGCUUUUUAGCUCUACUUGCAUCAUUUGUGCUGUUAAAGUACUUCCGAGCAAAGUAGGGCUACAAAUCUAAGGCUGUCGAUGAGGAUUUGAAUCGAGAACAAAUGUUUCUUUUGGCUAAAACUAUUUCAUGCUGUUGUUGUUUGCCCGAGGAUAUACUGUUUUAGGAAUCACAGGCCUUAUCUACUUCUCAUGGUUGAUAGGGAUUUUUCUGGCACUGUUAAAUUGAACACAUUUAGGAAUUAUGUGUUUAUUGCUGUUAAAUUAUGGACCAUAGUGUGACAUGUUUAGUCUUGAAUCCCAUUUCCUCUAAGGUAUGAUGUUUGCUGUUAUUGCAGAUAAUGAGAGAUCCCGAGACAGGGAACUCACGGGGCUUUGGCUUUAUUAGUUAUGAUUCUUUUGAGGCAUCUGAUGCAGCCAUUGAGGUACUUUCUUUAACUGAAAGUUGGGGCUUCAUCUCCAAUUGCCUGAAGUUUUUAAAGGAGGACAUCAGAAUCUCAUUCUGUUCAUAUGUGGAUCCAAAUGAAAAUAUUCAUAAUUAGAUUACAUCAAGUCUAUCUUCCAGGAAUAUAAGUUUUUCCUUUUGUCUGGUUGGUGUCUGGAGCCCCCUUGAUUUUCAUUUAAUAUGGUUUUCAAUGCUGUUGUAACCUUUUUGAGCGGUUUUAGUAAUAAUAAAUUUUAGAUACUUUUUACCUUCAGGUUCCUAUAAUUGGGAAUAUCCAUAAUGCUGAUGCCUAGUGACUGAAUUUUUUUAGUCUGAAAAUUGUUGUUAUUAUUGUGGAUAUAUCAAUACUCUUUUGCUUAUGCUGCCUCAGUUUUUAUUUAGCUGCAUUAGUGGUGAUUUGGUGGAGUUGACAAAUAGCAUCACAUCCUUGCAAUCGAGGAUGUGUUGCUGUUUGGAAGUUCAAGAUUUUUUAUAUAGUGUCAUGGAUAAAUUUUGUCGGGACAAUUAGUUUAUGAAGCUAAUUGUGAGCAUUUCAAUAAUGAUUUACCUGAAAGGCAAUGAACGGCCAAUAUCUGUGCAACCGUCAAAUUACAGUGUCUUAUGCGUACAAGAAAGACACAAAGGGCGAGCGUCAUGGUACCCCUGCAGGUGAGAUUCUUUCUUUCUUUCAUUUUCUUUUUGUGGUGAUAGAAUAUAUCAGAGAUGGAAAGAUUAAGUGCUAUGCUUUCUGGGAAUUUAAAGUUGGUGCUUGUGUGGUUGGAAUUAAGAAUUUAAUUCUUUUAUCACGAUUGAUGUAUUGUGAGUCGUAUAUUACACUGCUGUUCAAAGUAAUGGUUUUCGAGGCUGUCCAUUAAGUUGAGCUUGGAUGGUGUCAUAUCCAUAUGCUUGUAAGUCGGAUGUAGAGGUGUUAAAAUGGGUGACUUGGGCGGGUUUGGGUUGGGUAAAAUGUGUAAUGGGUUUAAGUGAGUCAACUCAUUUAUACCCAUUUAAUUAGAUGGGUAUAAAUGGGUAAGUCAAAAAAUGAAUUGGGUAACCCAAUUACCCAUUUAUAACUCAUUUAUUUUAACUUUUUGCAAACUCAUUUAAAUUCAUUUUUGCAAACUAAGUUAUCAAUUUAUACCACUCUUUGUACCCAUCAUUAGUUUUAAAUAUUUACUUAUAAUGCUCAAUAAACUUAAUUACCAAUUUUUUUUAUUUAUACUCUAUGUCACAAAAUUACCUAUUAUUUAAUAAUUGAAUAAUACGAAUAUAAAAAUUUGAAUUAAGUACUAUAAAAAUUAAUAUAAAACUUAAUCCAAAAAUUUUGAACCCCUAACAUUUUUUUUCAUAUAUAAAUUUAAAAUUUCAUUUUAUAAAAAUAAGAAAAUAGGCUAAAAUUUAUCAUAAAUUGGUAAUGCUAAAAAAUGAGCAAGUUAACAAACUAAGAAAAAAUAAAAUAAUAAGAUAAAACCAACAAAUAAUAAUAAUAAUAAUAAUAAUAAUAAUAAUAAUAAUGUUAACAUCAUGACAAAAUGAAAAAUUUGAAAAAAAAAAGGUAGGGGAAAAGAAGAGACUUGGGGGGAAGAGAAUUUAAAUGGGUUAAUUGGGUUUGAUGGGUUAUCCAAUAAUACCCAUUUAUUAAAUGGGUAUUAUUGGGUAACCCAUUUAUACCCAUAUACAAAAAUUUAAGAUACCCAUACUCAUCUAUUCAUGGGCGGGUAUGGGUAAAUCUAGUUAAGUGGGUUGAUUUGCCACCUCUAGUCGGAUGGUAGCGAACAAUUUUAGUUUGGGUAAAGGCUAUGCUGUUUCUACUAAUUCCAAUUCAAGGAAUGAUAGUAUACCUUGCAUGGUUGGAAUUAGGAAUUUAGUUAAUUUUUUCAUAAUUGAUGGAUUGUGUCUUCAAUUACACUGAUCAAAGUAAUGGUUUUGAGGCUGUCCAAUAAUAUUAACUUGAAUGUUGUCAUCGCCAUAUGCAAGUUAUAAAAUGUCCAACCAUGGUUGGAUGUGCUUCGGUGUAGUUUGUCUUCUGGUAUUUUAAAUGCAGUAUUAAAAUUCUGCCCAUGCUAUGCAGAAAGAGUACUGGCUGCUAGUAAUCCAAAUGUGCAGAAAAGCAGACCACACACCAUGUUUGCAAGCGGACCUCCUACACUUCAAAAUGUUGCUCAAGCAAGUGCUAACAUUGCUGCUCCUGUCCCUCCACGGCCUUUUGCUAAUGGGAAUGUUCCUCCAACAUCCAUUCCACCAUUCCGACCACCACCUCCACAGGCUUCCAUGUUCCCGCCAAUGCCAUUGCCUCCACCACAAUCAUGGCAGGGUCAACAACCACCAGGUCAAACUGCCUUACCUCCACCUCCAAUGCAGCAGUUCAGGAGCAUGCCGCCUCCACCUCCACAAAUUGCUCCAGCUUUACCAAGGCCUCCACCACCACCAGUAGGCAUGGUGACUGCUCCAAAUGUGUGGCGGCCACCACCACCUCCUCAGCAGUUAGGUGGUGGGCCCCCAUCUAUGCCACCACAUCUGCCACCCCCUCCUCCGGGCAAUUUUCCCCCACCUCCCCCUCCUUCAUAGAAGCUGAAAGUAGAUCAACAUUAUGCCUUGCCACUUAACUUUAAAACUUGUGUGUUUCUGUUAUAGAUAGCGUAGCAAUUUGGUUCCUGUUUAGCAUUCAAAAAAUAUGGCUGAUGGUUAUUAACAAUUUUGCUCUCUUGGGUUGAGAUCUGAUGAUGUUUUCUACUGGCACUGAAUUGAAGGGUGAAUGUGAAUCCGUCAUUCUCAUUUGGAUAUCUCAGAAGAAGUAAGCAGGUUAAAAAUCUUUAAUGUUGCAAUCUCUAAACAGAUUUUCGUAGCUUAGUGCUGUGUUGUAUGACUUGCUAAAUGCUCCAGAGUCUCCGAAUGUAGUGGCUGCACGGUCAAGACUAUUGAUAUAACAACUAAAUGAAAGAUAAAUUUCUGUAUCUGUUAAUCUUUGAACAUCGAAUUUCUACUAACUACGGAUGCAUUCCUUGGGCGGCGCUCCGUAAACUUGCAAGGCAUAAUUUAAUAGUUUGUAAUUGAACUAGUUCUUGCAGCACGAGAAUCGAAUCAGCUCUUCUCCUGCGACGUGUUUUCGAAGUGGUGAUGGUCUUGUUUUCGAUGGAUGUCUUACGUUAGCAAUAGCUAAACACCGAUAUCAGACUAAAACACAGCGAUGUCAACCCACGAGAUUUCAAUCCAAUGCGAACUUGUCUUUGUUUUGGCUAGAGUUUCAUGGCUGCCCCAACCCACGAGAUCCUCCUAGAUGGAUAUAAUUUGCUACACUAAGCAUAUCAUCAAUUGGAGUUUUUGCUUCUUUUUUUUUUUUUUUUUAGCAAAGUAUUUUAAUUAAAUGGAGCCUUCAGUUUUAAAGGUGAUGUAUGAUUUUCUUUUUAUUUUUUAUAUUUUGUUUUCUUCAUUCCGAUUUUUUGAUGUAGUUUUUUUUCCCAACAUAUAGAGAUAGUAAUCAAGUAAGAUGCAAAUAAACGAAGAAAGAAGAAAUAGAACCUGACUCUAAGGUUGUAUGCCUGUGCCUCGUAGCAAGGGUUUAAUGACGAGUUGGGGAUUCUGAAACCUGGAGAGCCGCAGUCCACAGGAAAUGGAAUAAGGUUGCGUCAGUUGAUUUGGCUUUCUCUUAUAUUUGGGCAGCCAAUGAAUUUGUUUGGACAACAAAAAUUUGGAAUAAAAAUUUCAGAUUUUGUUUUGCUUGCAUCAUACACACAAUUCUGUUAUGGAAUUUCUGAGCCUUGUACGGACAGGUUAACCUUUUCGUAACAAUGGUAUCAGAGCCAGGCAACGAACCCAACAUCCCAGGUUCGAAUCUCGUAGAGGCUCUGCCUCCUUGAAGGGGGAGUCCCAAAAUUACCAGGCCGUCGAGGGCGUCGGCCUCUAAGGAGGGACGUUUGUUAUGGAAUUUCUGGGCCUUGUACGGACAGGUUAACUUUUUCGUAACAAAUUUCCAAUCACCUUUUUAUCUCACAUACAUCACAUCACAAAAAGUGCUACACUAACUGGAUCAAAUAAAUUCUUAUCCAAACAAACUCAAUGAUAUUUCCUGUCCAAAUUUGGUCUAAUCGAACAAACAACAAUGGAAAAUGUGAUGUUCCUGGCACAGUGCUUUUAUUCUAGGGAGCAACUUGUCUCUGCAAAUCAUGAUUAUUCCUGGAAAAAAAAAUGCUUUAUUACAGACGUGUACUCUACAUACAAUUGUUUACUCGAGUAAAGUACUAAAAUUCUACUCCCCUAAUAUUUCCUUGUGUUGAAGAUUCAUUGCCACGUCUACUGGAUACAACCAUGGUUAGCAAUAUCGGCCGAUUCCAAUACAACUCGGCCGAGUUGUAAUCGGAAUAGAAGGGAUCGAUAUGAUAUCGAUUCAUGAAUUGCGAAUAAUAUCAUAUGUACAGCGACUUGUUCUGACUCCACCGAUAUUGAUCGAUUCGAAUAUGUGAUACAUGGUAUCGAUCGAUAUAUCCGAGUUGAUUCGGAUAUUUUUUUUAGAUUGUACCUUUUUUUAUAUUUUCUAAUUUAGUAAUUUUUGAAAAUUUUUAUGUGCUACAAUGUGCGUAUCACCCGAUCUUCAACUGAUAUGCCACCACGACGGAUGUGAAACAACCGUGACUGCGACCCACGACAGGCGAACCAUGCUUGUACCUGUGUUUGGGCAGGAGGUCCAGUCAGUUACAUACGAGAGUUCUGUUGGUAUCUGGUGUGCAGAAACUAGUGAAUUUAAAUUUAUGUGUCGAUGGCUCAUUAUUGCAACUGGAGAGAAUGCAGUACCGGCUAUUCCUGAUAUUGCUGGAUUGGGAGAUUUUCGAGGCAGAUUAUUGCAUUCAAGCAAUUACACAAAUGGAGCUGAGUUCAAAGGGAGUAAAAUUUUGGUCGUUGGUUGUGGAAAUUCAGGCAUGGAGGUUAGUUUGGAUCUAUGCAAUAGAGGUGCUCAAGUUUCUCUCGUUGUCAGAGACAAGGUAACUCAUCUUCAUCUAAUGCCAUAAUAGCUACAACGUUCUUGGAACUUCACUUCAGGAUGUCCAAGUAACUCGAUUCAUUUCAAGACUACCCAUUGUACCCAAGGGAGCAUUAAUUUUUACUCUCUCAAUGAAGUUGCUGAAAUGGUUUCCACUUUCCAGUAAGACUAGUGGAUAUUUCCUCAUCCUCUGUUCGGAGCUGAUUCUAGGAAACACCAAUAGACUUGGCAUUGAUAGACCAAAGGCAGGUCCAUUGGAACUAAAAAUAGCCGCUGGGAAAACUCCAGUGUUGGAUGUUGGAACAAUUGCUUAAGAUAAGAUCUGGUGAAAUCAAGGUAACCUUUUGGCUGUUUAUAAAAUUGCAGGCUCCAUGUCUCAUAACGAGCGUUUCCUCCUAAACUUAAGACGACAUACCAACUAAGCAUGUGUAUACUAUACUGGGAUCUGCUAAUGUUCGCUUGGUGGUUGUCUUGAGCUUAAAAAGAUGUUCCACCCGGUUUCUGGCUAAUGAACUUUUUCUGAAUAUUUGCCUUACUAAUGCAUUAUAUGCAUACUUCUACACUCAAGUGGUUCAUGAUAUUCAAAAAAUUAGACCUCAAGGUGCAGACUUUGCGGAUGGGAAAAUGGAGGAUUUUGAGUUAAUUCCAUAGAUUUAUGGACAGAAGAAUUUGAAACAUCUAAUGAUGAAGGGAUCCCAUUCAAUGUAGGCUCAGCAUACUUCUGUAUACUACAUUCUCUUUGUAUUUUAGCACAUCAAGCAUACCUAACCAUAGGUAGUAAAUGAAAUUGCAAGAUCUGCUUUUCCUUCUCUCGCAAAGUUAGAAAUUUCCAAUCCAAGAUUGGGAAAGCCUGUCAUUAUCCUCGUCUUUUGUCUUGUACUAAGCAGCGGACCUAAAGGAACACCACCCCUUUGCCCAGUCAGAGAAUUGUGAUGCCCUUUGUGACCAGAUCCACAAACAACAGGGAAAAUAGUCCAGAGUCUCCAGACCUCAAAGAGUCCAGACAUUUUUCGUCACUCGAAACAACUUUGUAGGGCUCUUUUCAAAUCAUAAACCGAACCAUUCAGUGACGGGUCUGGUCCCUCCCACUUUCACAGUGCAAUCUAAUCUGCCGUGAAUGAAGGGAUCAUCUUUGCAUCCUUCGCUCAAGAAAUCCAGUCAACGAAGUUGUUCAAAUUCAAAAAAAUUUCUCCAGACCUGAAUGAAAAAUAUGGACAGCAAUGUCAUUGCAUUGCAGCUGUGCUUGUCAUAUUCCAUGUAUCUCAUCUAUACCAUCGAUCAUUGGAAGGAAUACCAGAAGAUUCUUUAUCGUCAAAAAGUUUGGCAUUCCACUCUGUCUAUCAUGCCACAAGAAGUUUGGCAUUCCACUCAAGUCAUGCCACAAUUGUAAAGACAGCCAUUUUUUGAAAGACUUUCCGACUUCCUGCUUUGUGUUGCUAUGGCGGUAUAUGGAAAGGCAAAACUUAAAACUUCUGAUACAGAUCAAGUAUAAGAAUGAGCUGAAACAGUAGCCAAUUGUAUGGACUAUCUAUAUGCUGCCCAGGCUGUUCAAACAAAAAUUUUACAGAUCGAAAUUCAGGGUGCUUUCGGCACUUAAUGUUGGGAUUUUCGACUCCUCAGCCAAGUUCACAGCUGCAGAUAUCUGACAACAUAAUCAGAGGGAAAAGAAAAGCAAUCAGAUGCUGACACAUUAGACACGUUUAAUUACACUUAGGAACAAUACAGUAAAAGCAAUAAAGAUAUUGUGAUAGAAGGGAAAUCCAAGUUGUCAGGCUAGCACGCGAAAUGCAAAUUCAGGACUUCAAAUGCAAAAUCAGGAGAGUCCUUGAGUCAAUUGAUAUGUCCAAAACAUAAAAUGGGAACUAAAAUUGAUGACUUGGGAGAAAGAAACCAAUCUUAUACACUUAUCGUUGUCACAAAUUUGAUCAUAGAAUAUGCUUAAGCAAAAGAAACACAAAAUGCAGCUUUGACGAAAAGCCAUAUCAGGAGUUUUACUUGCAUCGUUAUAUCUUAAGCAGCCUCACAAAGAAACCUGCUCGGAUUGAAAAUGAUCUUCAGUAACAGUAAUAAUCUGGCCCAGAUUUUCUAACUUUAACGUCGAGAAAAUCUGAAAUGGUCCCGUCUUCAAAUCAUCUUAACAUUCUUAUCUCUCGUUCAAAAACAGAAACGACACAUUAGAUGUUAGCUGUAGAAAAUAAAUUAAACAGAAAAAAAAUUUGCACAGGAUUGUCACCGUCUGUCCAACCAGUUUCACUAGUAAUAAGUUUCAUAAUCUGAAACUAAAAGCACCAAAAAGCAGGCAGCAAAUAAAGUAAUAAUGUCUAUUUUAAUGUCUUUUUUAUCAGAAGAAAGUUCUUUUAUCUCUACUUAAUCAGCUAAGGCUGAAACCGGAAAGACUUUUAGAAGUAUUCUGAACCCCAAAAAAAAAAAAAAGGAACCUGUUGACCUUUCAAAGAUUUACAAGCAUUAUCAUACAAAGGCCCAAAUAUUUCGUGAAAGCUUGCAGAAAAAAAGAAUAUCUGGGAACAAUUCAAUGAUCAAAGCACAUAUACACAGCUGAUGAGGGUACGAGACUGAGAAUAUGAAUUUGAGCGAGUCCCAGUUCAGGCAAUAUGUGAAAAUCUAUUCCCGAAAUAGUCAGUGUCAAAUUGGAACAUGAGCUGAUACACUUACUCUUAGUCAGAGAGAGCCAAAGAUUGCCAGCUAAGUUGUAUGCUAUCCUAGCAAGCUUCUAUUUGAAAUUGAUUCCACGCAUGGCUUGGUAGUUUAUAGGUGACCCAAACCCAAGUUCUUUCCUUCUUCUAAAACUAAAAAGGUGGAGCUCAACUAAUCUCUAACCAAAAUGCCAUGUUGGCAUCACCAAUUCAAUUGCUUCUCCAGUUGUACAUUAAGCCAGCAAAGGCAUUCAAAUACAAAUUUCAAGUAGGAAAUAUACUAGUUGUAAUACGAUUAAUUGAAUAUAAACACUAGAUACAAAAGGGUCUACCAUACUAUACAGUUUAAUACCUGAUCCAACGAUAAUGUAUUAGGGCUAUUAUCUACCACUAACUUCAUUUGCAUGAUUCCUAAGUAAAGGCAAACACAUGGCAGAAAAGCAGUUUAGAAAGCACAUACCGAAGUAGUAUAAGUCAAACAUAGUUGGCAUAAAUUUUUCAAAUUGACGAAGUACCUGGACUUGGCAACACUGCUAAUCAUUAUACAUGGUGACAAAACAAAACCCGAAAAACACAACUCUCCUCGUCUAUAAAGCCAAAUACAUUUUUCACCAUGAAAGAAUAACAUAACACCAGUUCCUUAACCACAAGUUUACUCAUUUCCCAUCAUUACAGCGACGGAAAACUUGAAAACAAAGAACCUGACUAGAAAAAUUGAAACUAACACAUAAAAGCAUGCCAACGACAAUUAAACAAGGACAGAAAUUUAUGCAAAUAGAAGUAACAUACCUUAAAACUCCCGUUUAAGCUAGAAGUCCUGGUCCAGUCCAAUCCCAACACCUUAGUGGAGCUCCGAUAGGAAGCUCUAACCACAUCAUUCCCGUAAAUCCUACGGGAAACAGCAAAAUCCCACGCAUUCUUCCCGAAAUCAUAGCUGGGCUCCACAGUAGUCAAGCCGUCAUGAGUAUAACUGUACUUCAACAUGCAAUCAUUAUCCGAAUGAAAACCAUAACAAGCAGAAACCUUGUUAGCCGAGUCUAUCAGAAAAGUCCCAUCCAAUGCCGUCCGAUUCUCCCCCUUCCAGUGCGUGUACGUCAAGUUCAACGGCCUCUCCAUUACCCUCACCGUAUUCAUAAAUUCAAACCUCACGUCCUUAAACAUUAUACACACACAAUCAAAAAGAGAAUUCUUUCGUCAUUAAAACAAAGGGAAAAAAAAAAAAGAGCGGAAAUUAGAAAUCAGUAGUUAGGCUAUUGUUAGAGACGUACUUUAUUAGGGAAGUUGUAGUCGAUGGUGAAGGAGGCUGGCUUCUCAACGGAGAGAGUGAGGCCGUUCAACGAAGGUCCGUUGACGAAGCAGGCGUCGGUGAUGGAAGCUUUGAGUUUCACGUCGCCGCCGUCGAGGGUGACAGUGCCGACGGCGCCAGUGACGUCGCUAUCGUAGUGUCCAUUGAGCGCGGCUUUUAUCAUUUUCCUUUUUUUUUUCUUUUCCUAAUUUUUCUGGGCGGAAAUAUUUACGGAGGAAUUGAGGCGGGCGAGUGGAUUUUGCGGGGAUCCAUUUAUGGUUGUUGGGGUUUUUUAGGGGCGGUGGUGGAGGGAACGAGGGAAAGGUUUUUAAUAUUUUUUUUUUAAAAAAAAAAAUCUACACCACAGACUAGAGGCGGAUAUGGAUUCGGUGAGUCCGGAUGUCCUUGGACUUUUGUGCUGUUGUUUUCAGUUGAAAUGCAAUCCCUUUCAUCGUCCAAUUGAGCUGUGUGGACCAAUUGGGCCUUUUGCCUAAUUGUUUUAUUGGAUUGUAAGAUCCUCCAGAGUGGGCUUAAAAGGAUAGCUGGACAGCACACCGAAGGCUUUAUAAUGUCAGCUCCGCAACGCAAGACUUAUAUUUUGCGUGCGAAUUGGGAUCCAACGUAGCCAGAUUGAGGUGGGGAAAGGGCAAAAAAGGUAAAUAGAAAGGCGAAAGAAGAUUGAGGAUACGAGGACUCGACAAAUUAGAACUAAGACGAAGAACUACAAUAUAUAUGGUUAGGUCCAUUGGAGAUAACUUCAAUCUGUCGUGUGACGCUAAAAUUUACACCACAUCAUGAUAAUAUAUCAUCUGUCCAUUAAAUACAGUAGAACUUGUCUUCUCAUAUAGUGCAUUUGGCAUCAAGAAAACCAACAUGCUGAAUUGACAGCACUUAUUUUGACUGUUGCCCAAACGAGAACAAAGAAAGACGAAAAAACAUGUUUGUUUGUCCUUGUAGUAGAAGCUCAUAGUAAUCACAGUUCAACAUUUUGUCUUGUUUGGGGUACUGAUGUUUCUCUUCCUUUUUUCUUUUUUUUUUUUCUCUUUUCUUUCGUGAAGGAACUGAUGAUGUUCACGACCCAAAGCAAAAAGGAAUGGUCACCGGGGGGAUCCUCAAUCCUCAUCCAAAAGUGUUGAAUCCCUAAUUAUUCUUGCCAGGAUCGAUGCAUGACAAAACAAUACUGAUCCAACGGCCAAUUGCGACGAACCCCUCGAGAUUGCAGAGACGACGAGCGCUCAAUGUGUCUGCUAGCCAGCUGACUCACUACUAGUGUAUCAAUCAAAGCAAUCUAGAGGGAGCUAAAACCGGACUCCCCGGAACCCAGAUUGUGAAUCCGAUAGAUAAAAGAUCUGGAGCUUGUAAAUAUGCAUACGCUACCCGAAAAGAAAGCAAAACAUAUGAACAGAAAGCUGUAAAUUUUUUUGUUUCUGUAGAAAGCUGAGCUCCGUUUUCAGUCAGUUUCCUAAGAAGAGAAAAAGAAUCUCUGAUACCUUGCGAGUGUGACACUCACUAAAUUUUACCAGUUGGAGCAAACUGGAUUCUUGCAAAAACCUGCAGAUAGAAAAUGUUUACGGUGGUCCAGUGACGGGUACAGUUUUACACCUUAAAAAGGGUAAAAGGUAAUAAUCCUUGAGUGGCCCAUACGGAAUCAGCACGCCAAUGAGGCGCAAUUGUCAAGUGCUAGUAGUGUCUAUCCCUCGACUUUUACUGUUGGGUUCAGUCCCACAAUGACCACUUGCAGAAUUUUUUUUCACCUGAGACUGAUACUGAUGUAAUCCAACAAAGCGUUUGACAUGUUUUGCGAAGAUGAUGAAACUCGGGGAAGCAAGAAGUUCGCCGGUUAUGAAAAUGCUUUCACGGGCUUCCCUUUCUUGUUUUUGGGAUGAUAAUAAGUGAUUUUUACAGGACAUUCGACGGGAUAAGUUUAGGUACUGGCCUCUUAGGUUACGUCUUUUGGACGGUAUGGGAUAAACUGAGAGUUGUUCAGUUUCCACUAGGAUUUUUUUUGUGUAUUUUUGGCUGCUAAACUAUCCCGUUCAUUUUUAGGCACCUUGGCUUUAUCUCCUCGUUUUGUUGUACUUCUGAUUGCUUGUAUAUAUGGAGAAUUGGAGAUAUAUAUUUAUAUGUAUUGGAAACAGAGGUAACUAGUAGUAAUUUGUUCAAUAUAAUGCAACAAGGAUAAUUUAUCAUCUGCAAUGUUUUGUUUGACUGCAGGAAAAAAAAAAAAGCGUUUUUCAAACGAAGCCUUGUGCUUGCUUCUAUGUAUGUUCUUCUUCAUUCAUGGGUCUGCAUUUUAGCUUUAGCAUCUACUUUUAAAGAAUAAUUAAACUACGUUCCAAAAGUCCAAUUGAGGCACGUUAUACAUUUAGGAAACGUUGAGAACCUGAUCAUAUAAAACAAGUCGAGAUCCAACUCUCCCGUUUGAAUGUUUGGUUUGCUACAAGUACCUUGAUAGUUAUUCUUUUUAGAGUGUUUGCACUGAGGGAUGACUUUUACAGGAAAGCCUUCAGAUACUUUGAGAAAAGAACAUAUGCUUGCUUAUUCCUCAGAGCUAAAUCUUCUUUGAAUAUUCACUAUUCAUAUACUAUAUUCAUUUCCCGAGAAAGAAUCUGUUAUUUUUAUCAAUCGAAUUGAUGUGUAUAAAUAGGGAUUCGCACAUUAAUUAUUAUACCUUGUUUUUCUUUUUCUUUUUUGAUAAGAAUUAUUAUACCUUGUUGAGUAUAUACUAAAUCAUAUAAAAACAGAACAAUAGUCAUACAAUAGUUAUAGCCCCUCGGGGCUAGAUCGCGCGGUCUGUGGCUGCUUCCGGCACUCGCAGGUCGUGGGGUCGAACCUCACUUAACGCUUGGGUGCGGUUGGGGUGACGCUGUACUCCAGGCGCAGGGGAUUAGUCGAGCUGCCUUCGGGUCUUGACCCGGACACCCCUGUGUUGAUCAAAAAAAAAAAAAAAAAAGUCAUACAAUAGUUAUAGUUGGCGUACAUUUUUUCAACCGCAUUGGGACAGAAUCAGAAAUUAGUGCCAGGACGAGAAAAAAUAUUUGACAUGAUCUUUGUCUUCCAUGUUCCUUGACCAACAAGAUGUGACCCGUCGGAGGAACCAUUGGUGACACAAAAUCUUACUGUCAAAAAAAAAAAAAAAAAAAAAAAGAGGAGGAAAAAGAGCAGUGAAUUGAGGGUACAAGGACAAAUGGACAAACAAUGCAAAAUCCGUAGAAUAAGGGCCAGAUGAAGUUGUCACGUAGACCAUGGUCAGAUACUGUUCUUAAGUCGGUAUUAAUUUGUCUAAAAGCAUAUGCGCUUUGAAAUAUUGCACUGCCAAACAGGGACCCUAUCUACUGGUGUGUACGUUUUAUUUGUGGACACCAAUGAAGUAAAAGAAUGAUUGUCUGGUAUCAACCUCAAACCAAAGCGAUUCGAAAAGCUUUACUGUGGGGUGAGGAGAAAACAAAAGCCAACUGGGGCCUAGUUGUAUUCUUGACGAAAGCCAUGGGUAAACUGAGGAGAAGGUAAAUGUUACUGCUAAUUGAGGAUGAGUAGAACUCACCAGCAGUGAUAAUUCUAAGAAGCUUGCAGCCUGGCGAAGCACUGCUAUCAUUUCUUUGCACAUGGAAAUGAUUAAUGAUGGUCCGCUUCUAUCUUUACUCCUUUCUUUUUAAUUCUUUUGUUUUCUUUAAUACUUUUGGAAUCCAACUUUGGUCUAUGACCAAGACUUGCUCUGCUUCCUUUCUUAUACUCCUAACUACUUUUUAGUGAUGGUAGUAUGAAUGCUACUCAUGCUCUGUCUUCUAGUGAUGGUAGUAUAAAUGUUAAUUUUGGAUAAUGCUCCGUUUGGAUUAAUUGUUUUUGAAAUAUUUUACUGUAACAGUGUAUACGAAAAACUUUUACUAUUAAUAUUAUUUGAUAUAUUGUAUGAAUGAGAUUUUUUUUAGUUGUUUUUGUUUAUGCAUUACUGUAAUAUUAUGUUUGAAAAACUUGUUUUUGAAAAAUAGAUCAAUCCAAACAGAGGAUUAUUUCAAAUAUUAUUUUAUUUGCAUCACAAAUAUAUUUUCUAAUCAACUCUUUAUUUUAUCAAUUAUUUUUUUAUCUCACACACACCACAUUACAAAAAGUAUUAAAAUAAUUAUUUUAAAUUAUGUUUUAAUUAAUCUUCUGUCCAAACAGUCCCAUUGUUGUUUUUGUGGGUAAAUACACCAACUGUGUUUAGAUUGUAACAUUAUUCCAAGUUAUUUUUGUUUGUAUCAAAAACACAAUUUUCAGUCGCAAAAAAACAUACAUAACAUCCUGCAAAGUACUAGAGUAAUUAUUGCAUAUAUUAUUUUAAAUAAUUUGCUAUUCAAACGUACUAAUUGGGGGAGUGAAUGGAAUUGAAUGGUGCUCGAGGAAGGAGUGUAAGUGAAAGAUCAGUGUUCGAAUUAUCCCGCUUACACUUAAAAGAAAAAGAUGGAUUAACCGCACCCAAUUAUGUCCAACCCCAAGUCCCAACCAUAUAUAUUUGUCCCAGUUUCAAUAAUCAACAGGCACUCCAAUCAUUUUAGUGUCUCAAAGUACUUCGAGAAAAUCUCGAGCGUUCACCGCUCCAUGCUUGACUGCCAUAACUCUAGCUAAGAGACUGUCAUGUUCAUAUUCCUUUCCGUUGUUCAACAAUGAUUACUACUACUCAAUUUCAUCCCAAAAUUAAGCUAAAAAAGUGGCUAUGCACUGCAUUUCUUCGUCAUAAAGUAGUCCCUCGCAUGAGAUACUCAAUACCAACACCAAUGAAGCACGCUUUUUGUUCAUGCAUCAAAAGGCGAAGAUGGAGUUUGACUUCCUGCUAUCAUUCGUCAUUCAGUAGUCGAAUUUUUCCUCCAGGAAAAAAAAAAGGCUAUAUUUUGCAAUUGUUUCCCUAGAUUUGACUGGGCAUUCAUGGCUUGCACAUUAAAAUGUACCCUACAGAAACUGUUUUUGGGGUUUUCUCACGGUCUAUGCGUCCUGCAAUCCGCAAUACAUAAUGUUGUGCUGUAUUUGUUCGUAAUUGACUUUUCUUCCUGGUUGGUGCAUGCAAUAAGCAUGAAAAGAAGAACAAACAGGCCCUAAUCAAGCACACCUGAACUUGGUUAAAUUCUGGCUAGCUGCGAAGCAGAAAUGGAACUUGGACUAGGUUAAUGAGAACUAAGGUUAAAUAGAAAUUAUACAUACUAAUACCUGGGAAUAGAAGGUAAUUUAGCAGCGUAAGCUGGCAUCAAACAAGUAGCUACUAGCUAGUGACACUAUUUAAACCUCGGUUCAAAGGGUGAUAUAGCUACGCCAACUAGCCAGCUCAAACUCGAAGGUUGUUUGUAUUUCUUGAAUUAACACCACCACCACCACGACGACGACGAUGACGAUUGGAACUCCGCUGAUCAUCACUAGCACAAAACAUCGCCUCCCAAAUCUCAGCAAACACCUCAAUGAUCAGCCCAUGAUAAUGCCUCGAAUUCAACGACAAAAAACACUGCAGCAGCUGCUCCAAAUCUCUCUCCUCAAACAUCUGCUUCUCCAAUAUCAUCUCCAUCAUUGACCUCUUAAAAUCCUCGUAAGGGUCCUCACUCUUCUUCACGAUUGCAAAGCUCUCCUUCACCUUCCCAUCCACGCUGCAUGGUAUCAGCUUUUUGAACACCGACAACCUCGCCGGUGACUCGUUCUCAGCCGCUGACGACACCGAAGACGGCCUGUAAAUGGUCGUCGACCUCGAUACUCCGCGUUUCGUCGAGUGCUUUUUAUUCUUUUUCUUGCUAGUCCGCUUGUGACGCCUUGUAAUGGGCAAAGGGGUCUCGCGAAUGGUUUCGAGAUUUGGGUUGAAUUCCGAGGAGGAGUCAUCGGAAGAGGAACUUCUCCAAGAAGAUAUCAGGGUUUCAGUCUCUAUCAUGCUCUCUUCUUCUUCUUCGUCUAAUAUUACUUCACCACCUUCGCUGCUGAAAAGCCCGCUUUCAGCUGAGGAGGUGCUCGCGCGGAGUCUAGCUGGAGGAGCUCUUUUCUUCUUCCCUCGUCGUUUCUUUUUAGAUGGCGGAGGUGGCGGUGGUAAGGCUAAUAUUUUCUUGUCUUGGUCGGAGUCGCCGGAAGCGCAGGAGUUGUAUAUCUUUCGACGAGGGGUCUGAUGUUUGUCGUCGUAGAUCUUAGCUACAACGUGCCAUUUCUCUUCUUGCUCCCAGCUGAAUUCUUGUUGCGACGAUGAUCUGGCGCGGCCGUCGUCGGAGUGUUUAAUUGCAGCGGGCUUCAUUGAGGCGAAGCCACAGCCGAUGGAUGAGAAAGCGGAGGACACGUGGCGUGUGACGGACGAUGAGCCGGAGCUCUUAGGAGGGUUUGUGUAAUGAUCAAUGGUGAGGAAGUUGGGGUUGACUGGGGAAAGUCGGAAGAAUGUAGGGACAGGAUCAUGUGGGAGAGUGGAGGCGUCUUUAGAGCGACAAGAGUGGAAGGUUGUGGUGACGAGUUUGGAGACACGAAGCUUAAAGCUCUUGCUGGCCAUGGAUGGAAAUUGGGUUGGGGGUGGGAGGCGUGGGGGAUGGUGGAGAUUAGUCGUCUGGAAGCCGUGAGUUGAGAAAUGCCUGCGAAAGUGUCAAAGUGUGAACUGUUUGAAGACGAAGAUGGUGUUUAUAUAGGGAGUAUGGAGCGUGUUUUAGUUGCAAAUAUAUAAAAAAAUUAAAAAAAAUAAAUAAACAUAGAAGUUACAGGGAUUUGCUGAGAACAUGAUUGCAUGAUUGAGAAACAAACCAUUGUUUUAAAAUGCUUUUUCUUUUUUUUUUCUUUUUUUGCUGAGAACAUGAAUUUAUUGGUUUGAUUUUUUUUAUUUAUUAUUAUGCUUACUAUACGCCAGUGCACCCUGGAUCAAUAAAGAAUUUUAUUUUUGGCAGAGAAUAAUACCAGCAGCAUACGUUUUUGUUGGAUUACUAAAAGCAAAAUAAUCCAUCACCUUCGCUAUACAAUAUACAUCGCUCGCGCCUAUUUCAGUAUUCACUGGUCUCGCCGCUGAGCGGAGGCGAAAUCAACUUCGUUGUUUGUCACACAUAGAUUCUUCCUUUUGUUGGUAAGUGACUAAGUGAGCAAUCUGCCACUGCGCGCACGCUUGACUAGCCUAUUAAUGUGAUUUCAUGUAAAUCAUAAAAUACGGCCGCGAAAUUGUUCGCAUUCUAUUUAGAUAUGUGGAAAAAAGUCCAUAGUACUUAUGGGGUCUAAUAGAAACUUUUUCAAUAAAAAAAAAUUGGCCUUUUUUUGGUGAAAAUAGAUUGUGCUAAUUUGAAUUCAAAAUUUAUAUCAUUAUGAAUGGUCUUAAAUUUUUUGACAUUUUUUGUUCACUUUGAUGGCAUUUUUUUUUCUUCUUAAUUUGUAGAGAGGAUGUUUUUAUCUAUUUUUAUCAUAUAAGAGGAGAUGAAAGAUUUGUUUUAAUUGUGUUAAGAAAAUACUUUUACCUUUUUGGCACGCUACACUUCAAAGUUGAUUGAGGUGCCAAUUUUAGAGGGGAUGGGGGUUGGGUUGAGUUGGGUGAUGAGAUGGGAAAUAUUAUAAGUAAGAAAUCCUAAAUUCAAGAUUUUUCACUUACAAAAAAAAAUGUACAAUUUUAGAAAAUACUAACAUAUCAAUAAUUAGGAUAGUGGUAUCAAACAAUUCAACUAAUUAAUAUUUGUAAUUACUUUUUUUAAACAUCUCUUAGUGUUAACAAGCUUUUAUAAUGACAAAAUUUUCUAUCUAACUUCUAUGGGCUUUUUUGUCAUCUUAAUGUUAGGGGUGUGGAUUUAGCCCCACCCAAUAUUAAAAGCGUUCAGUUGGGCCAUUCUAUCUAUUUUUUAGGGGCAUUUUUGCCAAUUUGUUAAGCAAAAAAUAGUAUACCAUUUUAAAUGAAACUUUAGAAAAGUUUAUUGAUCAUUUGUAUACAUUUUGAACUUGUUUUUGAAAUUGAAGAACAAUAAAUAGAAAAAUGAUUUUCUCAACAAAAAGAGUUAUAGCACAAGUUAUCAUUGCAUUCCUAAAUCUUGUGAAAAUAUAAUAGAAAUAUUUUAGCAAGAAAAUGAUUGGAUUGACAUCAAAAAAAUAGAAAGAAAAAGUUCAAAAAGAAACACGAGAAAACAUUUGGGAAAAUGUUGCACUUGUGAAUGGAAAAAGAAAAAUAAUAGAAAAAUGUCUUAUUAGAAAAGGAAAUAUUUCCUUAGAGCUCAUAGUUUUUUUUUUUUUUUUUAAAUAUAGUUUUUAGGUCAAGUUAUUUUCUUGCUAAUCCCGUGUUAUAGCUUGUUACUAAGAAAUUUCUUUGUCCUUAUAUUCUGCUUUAGUUUCAAAAUUAUUCUCCAAAAAAGCGUGCCAAAGGUCACUAACUUCUGAUCUAAAAUUUUAUUUGUUUUUAACUUAUCAUACUAUUUUUUUUUUGUCUAUAGAGUGACAAAAAUACCCUUGCACUUGACCAAUAAAAUACACACAAUGAUCCUAUUAAAUACCUUUUAAGAGUAUAAUGGAUCAUUGGACAUAAAAAAUAGUAUAAUGAAUUAAACAAAAUUUUUAAAAAGUUUGGUGACUAUCGAUGCACUUUAUAGCAUUAAAUAUACAUUUUUCUUUUAAGGAUCCUUAAACAUACCUUUGGAGGCAAAAAUUGAAUAAAAAAAAAACAACAACAAGACUUGCUGUCUACAGCCGAUUGGCGACUCUCCUUGCAAGAAUAUCUGUCAUAUCCCAAAGACAGGUGAAAUCUGAAGGGGACGAGGUAAUUCUCAAGAAGCUGGUUGGAGAUUACAUUGUGGAAGUCGAAUGUUGUUGCCUUCUGGCCUAAAAGAAUUUAUUCUUUUGAACCAUAAUUGUGGAGAAAAGUCGAUAAAGAGGCGACAAAACACCCAAGCGGAGGCGCGUGUGCUGGUACGGCAGUGAGUAGCAAAUAGCAAUCAACCGGCCAAGUCUUCUCCACACUCUGAUGUCCAAAAGCACAAGACUCUGUAAAAGGAUAACAUCACAUUAUAUAUUCAACUUUACAACAGCGUCCUAAUUCACCCCAAUGUUCAAAUUUUGAAUUCCUAGACUUCAUUGCAUCACGCAAAGGUGUGAGGCUGGACUGACUGCUUGACAAUUAAAAAUGCAGAACACCAGUUUCCUCUGUAAUUGAUCCCAACCCAACUGAUGCAGCAGCUUAGCUCUGAACCAUCAACUUUGAAAACUCAAAUAUAUAUAUGCAUAUAUAUAUAUAUAUGUGCAUAUUUUGCUUUUACUUCGAAGUUCAAAUUGGAUAUCCCAAGAUCGAGUUUUUGCUCGCCUUUGUAUAGUUUUUUUUAUCUCAAUAUAAUCAAAUUACAGUUUGCUCGCCCCUUUUCUUCUUCUUUUUUCUAAGGCAUCAAGUCUUUCUUUAAAAAAAAAAAAAAAAAAAAUUGGCCGACGACUUAAAAGUAAACAAAAACGGAUUUCCUGUUCUUCACUUCUUCUGAUGUUGCUGUCUUUCUUCUAAUACCUCCGAAGCAACAGCUGCUUCGUGGCAGUCGGCAGAUGAAUUGAAAAUUUACGUGCAGACCAAUUCUUUACACACAAAGACCUUUUUUUUUUUUUUUUGGUCGACAUAGGGGUGUCCGGGUCAAUUCUUACGGGGCUCGACUAAUUUCUUACGGCUCGGAAAAGGAGGCCCCACUCCACUUCGGACACGGUAACUCCAGGUAGAUUCGAACCUUGGUUGUCUAAGGCCAGACAACGCCCCUAAAGAGGAAAGCAUGACCGAUUGAGCUGCCUAGGGGGCAACUUUACACACAAGGACUUGGUAAUCCAAAUUAAUAUACCAUUCUAUUGUAAGUUUUGUAAAAUUUGCUUUAUAUUAUUGAGAAUUUCCUUGAUUCAACAGAAUACUAUGUCGAAUGAUAGUAUAAUACUCAACAUUUUGCUCCUCAAUAUGGUAGACAUGUUCAGAACUUGACGUAAGUGCAAGAAUGCAAUGGGUGGUUUUUUUUUUUUUUUUUUUUUUUAGUUUUUAAAACGCGUGAGGGAAAAGAAUUGCAGCUGUCCAACAUACUGUCAAAGAUGAGGAUGAUAUGCUGGAGAAAUAAUUAAACCUAUGAUUGUUUAUUUGCUUUUCCAUUUUUUUUUUGGUCUCCCCCUUUCAGAGAGACUAAUAAAGCAGAGUUGGAUGGUGAAAAGCUAAAAAAAGCAACCUUUUGUUUCUACCAUCUAUUAAUCAUCGUCAUCUUAUCAAAUGCAGCUCCCCGUCCCCGUCCCCGGCGCCGCUGCGACUGUUUUGUUCUUGGAAUGAUUUUUUUUAAUUAUUAUUAACGUACCCGAAAUUAAUCUCACGCUUAUCAGAGAAAAACAGAAACAAAAUGACUAUAUCGGGAUGCAUGGCCUUGCAUAUAAAGCAAUUUCCAACUAUUGAAGACUGAACUUUUUGGUACCGUACCUGGCUAAGGUAAUACUAAAAAUUAUGAAUCGGACGCGAGGAAAGCAGCUAGACUUUUGUGGACGGAGAAUGUAGAUGUAGAGCUUUUCCCUCUGGAGACCCACAGAAAACGGAAGUCAUUUGUAGAAGCAAUCUCAAAAGGUUGGGGUUGGGAUCCUAGGGAACAAAAUCAUCCAAGCACAAACUUAUCCUUCCCUUUUCUAUCUUCUUUUUAUUUCGGAUAAAUAAAUAAGUAAACGUUAUGAAGUUGGCUUUUGGAGGUAGGAAAUUCAUUUCUCGCCUGUUGUGAUGGUACAUGAUUUAACACCUAAUCUUUUGGACAAUAUUUUGAGACAUUUAAAAAUAAAAAGUACAACACUUUCAAUGGAGUUGAGAAAGCACUAGUUAAAAACAUUUAAAAAAACCUGCUAGUUGGGGGGUUCUCCUCGCUGAGAUUCAGGUUUCGAAUCGAGAGUCCUCUCCAUCGAGGUUCAGGAUUCAGAUCUCGUAUCUCCCAGUUAGAGUUUGAAAAAAGUAAGAGGAGAAAAAAAAAACUAAAAAUCAAAGAAGUAAAAAUCUAAACCUGAGAGCGGGGCAGCAGAACUAAAGACGAUCCAAUUGGCUAACUUGCCUGACAACUGAGUUGGGUUUUGAGUACGUUAAUACGCACGUUUUGGUCGCAUAUCCAUGCAAGGGCAAACUUGGGGCUGUAAUCAGCAAUCGCCACCGAAGUAAAACUUUGGGCCCAAGUUUCAGGUCCAGAAAGUCGGCAAGAGGCCUGUUUGUUGCUCUGCUAUGUCAUUAAUGCCCCAGUUGACCGCUCAAGGACUUGCCGUCCACGACAUUGUGGGUUUUCGGCGAUCCAGAAAUUGUCGUCUUGUUCUUGAGAAGCAGAUGAGAACAUAAAGAUGUGUGGAGGGAAACUGGCUUUUCUAUUAGAGAAUGUCAACACAAAAAGUUGAUUCUCCUUGAAGGGGCAAUCGAAGAAAAUCCCAAGAACUUAAUACAACAACUAUUUGGGACAUGGAUAGUAUUGAUCAUUGAAGCAGUUGAAGAUUAUGUACGGUUAUUGUGAAAUGUUGACAAGAUUUAUAUUUCGUUUGUGCCCAAUAAAAUUAAUUUAUGCUUAUCAGAAAAUAGAAAUUCCACCGUUACCAGGUUAACAAAUUUAGAUCAAUACUCAAGGAGUUCAUAACAAGUUGCAACAAAUUUAGACCACGUCUGAUGAGCUGAAGCCUUGUGGAAUAUCUCAAACUACAUUUACAGUCCGAGUCGAUUGUUUGUUUUUUUUUUUUUUUUUUAAAAAGUCAGACGCGGCUGGCCACGCAAUAACCAUACCCGGCGGCUUUGCCACCGGAACUUUCAAAGUGUGAAAGCCAGCCGUUAAUCCAAUUGCACCAAGAAAGCCAGCCGUUAAAAUGAUAUGAUGAUAUUUUUUUAUUAAACAAGUAGUCUCAAUUCUAGAUACUGGCUAGCUAGCUAGUAGCCGGAAUUGGAGCAGCGCUGCAUGGUUUAGAGUUAGACUCCUCUGGUCUUUUAGUUGUGACUGUGAAAGUCUCUGGAUCCCAUAAAACGACGUGACACGAGUCAACUAUGGCGUGGUGUCGGUAGCACCCAAGUUUUGUCGAUAUAUUUAAGGGUUAAAAACAAAAAAACCCCGUGCUAAAUCUAAUAUACAACUAAGCCCCCUAUGGUUUCAAAAUAUGCAACGCGAUAUCUCGUGCUUUGAACUAAGUUGUAACACUGACGAAAAUCGGUAAAAUUAACGGGAACUGAUGAAAGGACCAAAAUGCCCUUGUAUAAUACCCAAAAGGCAAUUGAGCGGACUCAUUUCUUCCCUUCAAACCCUACGAAGAGAGAGAGAGAGAGAGAGAUAGAGAGGAAGUAAAUCGAAGGAGACGAAGGAGACGGAAUCAAGUAAGAAAAUCGAAGAAGACGAAGAUUUAUUCCAGAAAAUCGAAGGCAAAUGGGUAUGUAUGCUAUACUUCGUUCAUGUUAUAAUUAAUUAAAAUCAGUUCAUGCAUGUUAUAAUUAGUUUACAAUUUAGGGUUACCCAUCUCAGAUUUUGAGGGCUGAUGAUGUUAUUUACACCCGUAUUUGGGUGUUUACCUUAGAAAAUUCUUGAUUUUAUGAGUUUUGAAACUGGUACUUUGGAUUUAAAAUGAAGAUUUUUGCUGUUUUGGGACUACGACUUUAGUUUUGAAGCCGAGAUUUUUUUAAAAAAUUUUGGGUGUUAGAACUAGGAGUCAUGCAAAUAAUUUCUGAAAUGUCCAUUUCUACUGGGAGAUUUUUGCUGAUUUGGGACUGCAAGUUUGGAUUUAAAGUUGAGAUUUGGGUGUUGACUAGGUGACGCAAAUAAUUUCUGAAAUUUCCAUUUGUGAUGGGAAAUUUUUGCUGAUUAGGGGUGUUGAGUAGGAUCUGUUUCUGUUUGUGUGUGUUUGUGUGUUUAAGUAUAACUCAGUCACUUGCUAUUACAACAAGAUAUUUAACAAAGAAUUGUAAGUAAAAUUUCUAUAAUUGUUACUGUCUUCUCUGGUUUAGUGGUCCAGAAUGCUAUUAAAAUUGAUUUUCUGUUUGUGCUUUUAUGUUUAUUUGGUUUUCUGUAUAUCAAUGAUGGAGACAUAGUAGUUGGGAGACUAAAGCAUAUUUAUUAUAUUUCUUGAAACAUUCAACAGAAGAAGACAAGUCAGAGGAGACAGUAGAUAUACAUAUGUAUUUUGAUGGAAAAUUUAGAGAAUAUCCUGUCCUCCACUACACAGGAACCCGUAUGGCUAUCUUUAAAAAUAGACUUGAGGACCACAUCUGCAUAGUUAGCCUUUGCAGAAUGUUUAAAAAAGUGGAUGAGGAUGCAACUAGAGUGACUUUCUGGUUUUGUGCUCCAGGAGUAGACUUAGAUGGUGGUCUACAUCCAAUUAGGGACCAUGAUGAUGUUAAAUUAAUGAAUAAAGCACAUUGGGGUUUGGCAACAAGGAUAAUAUAUGCCUGUAGUGGGGAUGAUUCUUUUGAAAAGUCACUAGAACAUGGUGGGGACAAUGUGUUGGAGCCAAAUUCGACAAUGGAUGCAUCAACAAUAAUUAAAAAUACAGAUGGGGUACAUAACACCAAAAUAGACAGCAGAGAUGGUGGGGUACAAAAAAAAGAUGAUGGGGUUAGUAAUUGCAAUCCAAAUAAGCCAUUUAACACUGAUGAUGAUGAUGAUGAGCCUGAAUGGUUGAAGGAGGGGUUGGAAAAAAAAGAGGAUGAGAACAUUUUCGCAAGUAAAAAAGAUGUGGACAGAAGUAGUAAACCAGAAGGUGGGUCCAUACUACAUUCCACUCAUUUUAAGCCUUAUCACGUGUUCUCUUUCCCUGAGAAGGUGGCUAUCAAGAGCCUUGCCAAAAGUGAAACUAGUAAGGAAAAAAAGUCUAGUAAAAAUAAGAAGCAGUCUGCAGGGCCAGAUAGCAUUGGAGAAAUUCCACCUCAUAUCUCAUUUCAGAAUUCAUCUCAAGCUGCAUCUCAAGCUGCUGACUAACACCCAUCUCAGAUCCCAUCACAAGCUGAAGCAGAGAACAGUAAAAAGGCUGAGGAAAGUUCAACAGAAGAAGGAGCACCACAUACACUCGAAGAGGAUUGGCAAGAACCAGUAAUUUCUGAUGAAGAGUUGCUGGACAAGUGCGGAUCUAAUGAUGAAGGCCAUGAAGAAUGUCAUGACUUUAACCCUGAAGUGGAGUUUCUCAAGCCACAUUUUGAGUUGAAGGUUGGGCAAAAGUUUUCCAAUUUCAGAGUUUUUAGAUAUGUGUUUGAUCGAAUGGUUGGUAAGAGAGGGAUAUGAGGUUGAUUGGGUAAAAAAUUACUCGAAAAAAAUUAUUGCGAAGUGUGCAAAGGGCUGUUCUUGGAGGAUUCGUGCAACACCAGUCCAAGGUGAAACUACUUUUCAAAUUAAAUUAUUGAAGGGCCAGCAUGUUUAUGCUAGAGAUUACAACAACAAGCAUGCAACAGCCAAAUAUUUGAGCGUGAAGUACCAAGACAAGAUAAGAGGUGACCCGCAGUGUGCUGCAAUAGGAUUUCAGAAUGAUAUUAGAAGAGAUCUAAUGAUUAACGUGUCCGUUGCCAAGAUACGCAGAGCAAAGAGAUGUGCAAAAGAUGAGAUGCUUGGCACGGAUAUGGAGCAAUAUCACCACCUUUGGAGUUAUGCAGCUACAAUUAGAGAGACAAAUCCUGGUAGCACUGUCAAGAUUAAGCUUGAUACAGCAGAAGAAGAUUCACAAGGGACAUUUCAAAGACUGUAUUACUGUCUUUAUACUUGCAAACAGGGGUUCCUCGAUGGCUGUCGACCAAUAAUUAGUCUUGAUGGGUGUUUUUUGAAAUCUGCAUUUGGUGGUCAGUUGUUGUCAGCAAUUGGUAGAGAUGGCAAUGACAAUAUGGUUCCAAUAGCUGUAGCAGUGGUAGAGGUAGAGAGGUAUGACUCAUGGAAGUGGUUUCUGGAACAACUAAUGGCUGAUCUGGGACUUGGUGUGGAAAACAUACCCUGGACAUUCAUCUCAGAUCGACAAAAAGGACUGGUCCAUGCAGUGAAUGAGUUAUUUUCAAAUUCUGAACACAGGUUUUGCUUGAGGCAUAUGUACCAAAAUUUCAAACAGAAGUUCAAAGGAAAAGAGUUGAAGGACUUGUUCUGGGCAGCAGCAAGUGUUGGGAAUGAAGUGGACUGGAAAUUAGCAAUGAAUUCCCUUGAAAAAGCUUUAAAUGAUGCAGCUGAAUGGCUGCAAAAAGUGCCAAGUGUUUUAUGGAGCAGGUCACAUUUUAGACAAAGUAGCAAAUGUGAUAUUCUUGUGAACAAUUUUUGUGAGUCAUUUAAUAACUAUAUCUUAGAAGCUAGAGAGCUACCUGUCAUAGGGAUGCUUGAGCAGAUUCGAAGAAGGCUCAUGCAAAGGAUUCAAGAGAAGAGGACUGGUAUGCAGAAAUUUCAAGGAAAAAUAUGUCCUAACAUUGCAGAGAAGAUUGAUAGGAAUCUGAAAUUCAGUAGGCUGUGUAUUCCCACAUGGGAUGGCAAGAACAAAUAUGAAAUUGAUUGUGGGCCCAGAAAAUCUGUUGUGGUGGAUCUGAAUGAAAAGACUUGCACAUGUGGCUAUUUCCAGCUUACAAGUUAUCCUUGUGCUCAUGCAUGUGCUGCAAUAGGAGCACGUAGAUUGCCUUUGCUUGAUUGUGUGCAUGCCUGCUAUAGUAGAGAAAAUUACUUGAUAACAUAUGAGCACACUAUCACACCUGUCCCAAGUAAUAAGUAUUGGGUGAGAUGUGAAGAACAACCCCCAAAACCUCUUGCAGUUCGAAGAAUGCCUGGCAGACCCAAAAAGAUCCGGCAAAGGGCAGCCGACGAGCCUAAAAAGGGUCAAGUCUCAACCAGAAAGGGUCUUGUGGUAACUUGCAAGAGAUGUUUUCAGCCAAGACACAAUUCAAGGACCUGCAAGAAUG